UGAUUUUGAAGUUUAUAUAAAAUGGCGUUCUUUUAAAUGUUACUAGAACUACUCUAAGGGAGAUAUAUUAAAAUUUACUUAAAUUACCUUCGUUAAAUUAGAACAGUUCAUUACUGAACAAAUUAAACAUUCGACAAGUAUCUAGGAUUAGCAUUUGGUUUUAAUAUUGAUUGGAUUAUAUACUAAGCUGUUGAAUAUUAUAUAACUACUUAUUCAUAGGAGAAUCCUCAAUGCCAGACUAACAUGACACUCGAUCCUGACAGUCUUUAUUUUUCUGCGAAUACUAAAUAUAUGGUGACGAAACUGGUUUAAAAUUUUCAAAAUUGAUUAACUAAAUUUUAGAAGAAAGUAAUAUAUCUUAUUAUGGUUUGGCUUAAUUAUUCAUAAAAAUCAAACAAAUUACAUUAUUCCUUUUGGCAGUGUGUGAUUGUGUUUUUCCAAUAUUAUUUUGCUUUCUGAUUGUAUAAACAAUUUAAUACGAAUAUUUUGUGAUUCAUGAUAUAGUGUGGGCUUUAGAGUUUUAUAGAGAUUAGGAUGUUUCACACUCCAUCUCCAACCCAUUCACCUGAUUCCCAAAUUUUAGAAAAAUGUUAAUUUUUUUUAAUUAAAAGUGCAUUUAAUUGUUAGAAAAUUAAAAAGAAUCUGAUUAAAGAUUCCAGUUUAGGGUGAUUUAAUAUGCACCUUUAACUUUUUAAAAAAUUCAUUUUUUAAUCUUAAAAAACAUUUUUUUUUAUUUUUUUCUUAUUCUUAUUAAAGUAUCACUUUAAACUACACUCUUUUAACAUGAUUUUAAAAAUUGUGAUUUCCGAAUCCAUUCAUUAUCUUUUAAAUUUUAUUUUUAUAUUUAAAGAUUAAUAAUAAUAUAAUUUAAAAUUUUAAUAUUAUUUAAUAUAAUUUUUUAUCUUAAUAAUUAUUAAAAUAUAUUUAUCAAAAGAAAUAAUUAAAAUAAAAGUAAUAAUAAUGAAAAUAAAAAUAGAAAAAAUUAUAUAAAAUUUAGUUUAAUAUGUUUAAAUAUAAUAAACUAUGUUAAAAUAAUAAAUUAAAUAAUUAUUAAAAUUUAAAUAAAAAACAAAAUUUUAAAAGAAUUUCGUGGAUAUCCAUCCGAUAACAUGUUAACGCAUCCGAUAAACAAUUUUUUUUCUAAUUUUUUUAUUUAAAAUCAUAAUUAUUUAAUUUAAUUAAAAUUCUAACAUUAUUUAAUAUACUUUAAUAUUUUAAUGAGAAUUUAAAAAAUAAUUCAUAAUAUAAUAAUAGUUACAUAAAAAUUUAAAAUUAAAAUAAUUAAAAUAAAAGUGGUAAUGAUAUUAAUAUAUUUUAAUAUAUUAAAUUAUAUUAAAAUAUUAAAUUAAAUCAUCAAUUAUUAAAUUUUAAAUAGAAAAGUAAAUUUUGAAAAACUUUCAGAUAUCCAAAUCCGAGGUUAAAAAUUUUGUUUAUCGGAUAUCAAUGUCCCAUAAAGUUAUUUUUAAAAUUUUUUUAUUUAAAGUUUAAUAAUUAUUUAAUUUAAUUUAAAAUUUUAAUAUUAUUUAUAGUAUUUUUAUAUUUUAACCAUUUUUAAAAUAUGAUUUAUAUUUUUAGAAUACUUUUAUUAAAAAAGUUAAAAUUAAAAUAAUUAAAAUAAAAGUAUUAAUAAUCAAAGUAAAAAAAUAUUGAAUUAUAUUUAAAUAUACUAAAUUAUAUUAAAAUAUUAAAUUAAUUUAAAUAAUUAUUAUAUUUUAAAUAAAAAACAAAAUCUGACAAAAAAAUGGUUUAUCAAUCUAAAUUAACUUAUAUGUUAACAUAUUUGGAUAUUCGAUUAACCAAUUUUUUUUUAAUUUUUAUUUAUUUAAAUUUUAAUAAUUAUUUAAUUUAAUUUAUAAUUUAAUAUAUUUAAAUAUAUUAAAUCAGACUUUAUAUUAUUAUUUUUUUCUUUUUUUAUUAUUACUACUUUAAUUUAAAUUAGUUUUAUUUUUUAAUAUAACUAAUAUAAUAAUAAAAAUUAUAUUUUAAUAAUUAUCAAGAUAAAAAUAUAUACUAAAAUUUUAAAUUAAAUUAAAUUAUUAUUAAAUUUUAAAUCAAAAAAUAAAACUUUUAAAAAGAUUAUAAAUGAGAUUUUGAAAUCCACAGAUUUUAAAAUCAAAUCUGUCAAAGGGUAUAGUCUUAAAAGAUGCAGGAGAAAAAGUUUAUAUAUAUAUAUAUAUAUUAAAGUUAAGAAUUGAAUUUUCCAAAAAAGUUAGAAGUACACGACAAACAUCCUAAACUAAAAUUGUUUAAGAAUUUUUUACCGAACUUUUUUAAUUUAUACAAAUUAAAUGUAUUUUGUAAGGUUUAAUAGCUUAUUUUGUUCCUAGUUUUGGUGUGCAUGUAUGAUUACGAAUGUAUACAUUGUUCAUGCAUGAAUGUGUAUGUAUUCAUGUAUGCAUGUAUGCAUAUGUUUAUGUGUGCAUGUAUGCAUGUGUGAAUGUGUGCAUGUGUGAUUGUAUGCAUGUUAUUGAUUUUGUUUCUUUCUUGUAUUGAUUUUAAUUUUUUGGUAUUCAUUUCUGAGUUUACUAAUAUAUUAGAUUUCGUUUUAUGUUUUGAUUUGAGAUAAUUUGCUAGAAAGUAUAAGGAAAAGUGUAUUUUUAGACAAUUGGAAUUAAUUUGGAACUUGAAGAAACUGUGCACAUUAUAAAUAUUUGAUUCAAAUACCUUAGGAUCCCAAAAAGGACUUAAUUUUCCAAGAUGUCUUCUUGAGACAGUAUGUUUUAAAGCUUCAAAUUGAAUCUAAUGCCAAUAUACAUUUUACCUUUACUCUCAAUUCUGAUUUGUUCAAUUAUAAGUGAUUAGGUUUAAGUUUUCCUUUACUCAUGUUUUUAGAUGCUAUAUAAAGAAGUGCGUCGGCCCAAUAUUAAAGAGAAAGAGCCCCAAAUCUGGUGGCCUAGAAACAAGAAACUAAAGUCUCUUUCUCUCGAAAUUUCUCCAAAUCAGAAAUUAGGUAAGAAUGAGGAGAGUAUCUCUGCCCAAGUCUUCUGCGAAAGCGAGAGGAAGCAAACAUUGUUCAUACAACAUUCCGGCGUGUUUGUCAGCGGUGAAGAAAAGCCCCGGCAUGAUGGCGAACGGUGGCGACUGAUAGGAAAGAAGACGGCAGAAAGAAAGGUUACAGUUUUAAAAACAUAUUUAAGGUUUCACCAAAAGAACUUCUUUAACUUUUUCUACUGACUUUAUUAUUAUUAUUAUUAUUAUUAUUAUUAUUAUUAUUAUUAUUUUUAUUAUUUUAGUUCCUUUAACCUUUUUUACUUUUUAUGUUUGAUUUUAUUCCUAGUCAAAACUUUAACAUGUAUUAGACUCUAAUCUUUUUCUUUGUUAUAAAACUUUUGUGUUAAGCAUCGGCAACACAAUAACUUGUAUUAUAUAUUUGUAAUAUGUGGUUUUAAUACCUCAAUAAAUGAUAUGACGGUAUCAAUUCAUACAUAUACUAAAAAGAAUUAUAAUCGAAAAAUAUAAAAAAAAUAUUUUAUUUCUUAAUAUUAGCGUCCCAAAUACUACAAAGUUUAAUGCUGAUGGCUCUGGUGUGGUCCUUUGUAGUUGAAAAAGGACGUAAGCCAGAAAAAAACAGUUGCAUAAGAGGAUGCAUGAUUAUGAUUCCACAUCAGUUGAAGUUAAGACGAUAAUAGAGUUCCAUGGUUUCUUCCGAAUCAAACAAUGGAAACUCACAUGCAAAUCUUAAAGUCCUUGUCGAAAAAAAAUUCAACUUAAACCUCUUUUUUUCUUUCAUUCAAUCUUAAAAGAAAAACAAACGACACAUGUUACGUUCGUGUACGAAACAACAACUCGCCUCCUUAAUCGGUCACGUUUUCUCAUUACAUUAAACUUAAAAGUAAUAAAGAAAAAAGUAAAUAUUUUUUUAAUAAUUUUUUGACAACACAUAUAUAACAACUUCUGAAUGAUCUGUUUUAAAUAUUUUUUUAAAUAUAAAUUCAAAUAAAUUAAUAAAAUUAUAAAAAAAAAUGUUGUCAUAUAUUUUUACAUUUAAAAUGAUUAUAAAAAUUUAAGUAAUAAAAAAAUAGUAUGAAAAAAAUUAUAUAUAUCUCUAAAAAUAUCGUUUUUACAGAGCUCGAAGCAAUGGGCCUUGUUUGGGCAGAAAAGGCAGACGAUGCAGUUUGGGAGGAGAAUGCGGCUAAAAGCGCGUUUGGGCGGCUUCUGUGCUUGGUAAAGCUGGAAUUCCAAAAUUUCAAAACUAAACCAUAAAUGUUAAUGAUUAAUGAGCAGUGUAAUAGCACAUGCGCUUUACAUUCACUCCAUUUUUUUCUCUUUCUUUUGGACUUUAACCUCCAAAAGGAGCACCUCUCACACGCCUCCCACGCCCCCAUUCACAUUUCUCAUAAAUAAAAUAACUGCUUUUAACAACUUUUUCCUCCUCCUAACCCUAUUAAUAAUUAUGUUCCAGAAAGUACUUAAAGAUUUCAUGAAAAUAAACUUAGUAAUUUCCAGUUUUAGUACUUUCCUAUUUUGAUUCCAUUCUCAAUGUUAUAUACUUAACUAUUUUUUUUAUCUUUAUAUUUUAAUUAAUUAGUAAACUGAUAAAAAAAUUUAAAAACAAGAUGUGACAUUGACAUGAGUGAAGUUACAAGGUUAAUUAUUGUAAGGUCAAAUUCAACACUGCUACACACAAAUAAAACUGUUAUAAUAACAGAGGAGAGAUGGUGGCAAAAUUAUUUUGUAAAACUACUGUACUUUUCUGAAAGCAAGUACAAUAAAUGGAAGAAUUUUUAACUUUUUUUUUCUAUUUUGUUUUAUUUUUCUAGUUUUUCGAUUGUUGACAAUCACUAUAAACAAAAGAAUCAAUCACAGAAGAACAAAUUUGGUUAUUAACAAUGGAAUUUAGCUCAGAGUUACUCACACCCCGUUGAAUUAUCAAAUGAUCCCAAAACGACGUCGCGCCCAAUGCGAACGAACUCGGUUCCGGUAACGGCUCGCUCCCCACGAUCAAAUCAACGUUCUUCAACACGAACUCGUUGCUAGCGAGUUGACUCAGAAUGGCCGAGUCUGAAACCGAAUUUUUCCUCUUGAGCUGCACCGAGGCUCGCACAAUUUCCACCAGAGUCGCCUGGGAAAUGCGCCGGAUCCCGCGGGCACCCCCCAUCAUCACCGCGGAGUUGACAUGGCGAUGAGACUGAGUUCGCUCCGAGUUCCUACCGCGUUUGGGGAAAACGAAAACCGAGUCCGGACUCCGAUUCCUGAAUCGCCCGAGUGGGUCGUUGAAAAUCAACACGCUGCUAACGUCCACGAGCAUGACAUGCUUGAAAUUCCUCCUGACUCGCCCGAGCAGCAUGGGGUAACACGCCCAGCGUCGUAAGCUGAGUGGAACUCGGUCGAGGAAACCCGCGAGAGAAUUCUCCGGGUCGAGUUCGUCGGCGUUGAAACUCAGCACCGAGCCGUAACUCGCCCGAGUGAACUUACUCUGGGAGCUAUUAGAAAAGCUUCGAAUUUUAAUCCCCCAGAGGGGCUCUCCUCUUCCGGGGGAAUUGAGGAAGGGAGAGACGUCGAAGGUGGAGUCGGAGGGGCGGGUGGAGUUGAGGCGGGCAUGGAGAGUAACGAGGGAGAGGAAGGAAUUGUUCUCGUCGUGAAGAAGGGAAGCGAAGGAGGGUGAGGAAGAGGGGAGGAUGAAAACGACGUCGGAUUUGGAGGUGAGGCCGGAGCGGUGGAGGAGUCGUAGGAAGAGGCGGAGAUGGGGGAUGGGGGUGUCUUGGGAGACGUGGCAGAGGAGGAGGUGGUUCAUGGCGCGGGUGCCUCGGCGGUAGAGGGUGCCCAAGCGUUGUAGUGCGGGGGAAACGGCAUCGUUUGAGGAGUUGUGGGGAGUGUAAUGAGGUUUGUGAGGGGUGGAGGGUUGGAAUGUGGAGAGGGUGAAGACUAGGAGGAUGGUGAAGAGGAGAAGUAGACAUAUGGAGAGUGUGGAUUGAGCUCUGGAGAGAAGGGUGUUAAUGCUGCUUCUCUUGAAAGAAGAAGAAGAACAGAGAAGGUUGGUUUUGGUUUUGGUUUUGUUUUUGAUUUUGGCAGCAAUGGUGUCUUCUGGAAAGAAAACCAGGAGGAAACCCAUGACUGUCUGUCUCUCUGAAUGUUGCCGAUGAUGUUGGUGUCGGUGUUUCUGUAGGGUUUUGGUUUUCAUCCAUUUCGCUUUCAAUCAAUUAUUCUCUAACUGUGUGAGGCUUUCUACUUUCUACUCACACUCAGUACUACGUUUUCUUUCAAAUACUUUUACAACAUUUUUUAAUAAAUUUUUUAUAAUAAGAUAUAUGUUAUUAUUUUAUUAAAAAAUUUACGUUUAAAAAAUAUUUAAAACAUAUUAAUUAUUAAACAUGUAUUUUCAAAAAAUUAUUAAAAUGUUUCGUUAACAUUUUUUUUUCUUUCGUUAACCACAAACUGUUUUGUAUUUAACUUUCCACGCAUGGGCAUAUUAAUAUAUUAAUAAUUUUUUUAACAGUUUUUUUUAUUAAAAAUAAGAAUAGCAUGACAUUUGUAAUGUUCUUGGUAGGUUUUUAGUGGAAGUGACAUAUGGACGAAUCGAACAUACACCGGAAUAUGAGAGGGAUCUGGGGACUGUAUAGGAAAGAGACUAUACAGUUGAAAAAUAGUUUAAAGGAAUUGAUUUGGCUACUCAUAUCAACAAAUGCAUUUGUUUUUUUAGUAACCUAACUUAUAAGAACUCAAUUGAAAGUCUCGUGUUAAUGUGUAGAGGUGUGACAACAUUUUCAUUUUACAAGUUUGACAAGAAUAAAAUAGUAUUAAAACAAUAAAUUUUUAUAAUUUUUUUGAAAAUAAAAGUGAAAUUAAUGUAAAAGAUUAUAUAUAUCAAAAGUAUUAUUUUUCUUUCUAUAAUAGGUUUAUUAACAAUUUUUUUAACUUUUUUUACAAUAAAUUGUAUUUUAUUUAUCUGUUCAAAUUUAAUUUUAAAAAAAUAAGUCAAUAUUAAGUUAUUAUAUUAUAAAAAAAUUGUUAAAAAACAUUUACAUUCUUUUUAUUCCAUUACCAACACCUGUAAAUUCUUCCAUUAAUUCAUUUGCCGUGACAUUGUGUUUUUUUUUACACGUCAUUUUCUUUUACUACUAUUUCGCUCUAUCUUUUAUUACUACUUACUUUUCUUUUCUUCAAAAAUAUAAAAGUUGUUUUUUAUUCAAACCAUUAUACAUACGUGCAUACGUGGAAGUUGUCAAAUGCUGUGAAAUACCUUUUUUUUUCUCCUUUUUUAAAACAUGUUUUACAUUUCUUUAUAUUAUUAUUUGGUUUACAAAUUAGUUUAUUUAUUUGUAACGAUAAUAUAAAUAUAAUUUGAUAAAAGAACAUGUAUCGACGAACAAUUAAUUUUCUUAAAAUAAAUUUUAACUUAUAAUUAUAAUUCUAUUUUAAGUAAUAAAUUUUAAAUUUAGUAGAAUUAAGAUUUAUAUCUAGUUAAAUAUUAUAAAUCCGUUUUAUAUUCAACUUGAAUAUAAAAAUUUGAGACGAAAAAUUUAAACAAUAAAUUUGUAAACUUUUUUGUUUAAUUUAUACUUAAUAAAAUUUAAAUUCCCACAAUUUUUAUAAAAAGUUAUUAAAAUAGAAAAAAAAAAUUAUGAAACGAUGUUUAAAGUAAAGGAAGAGUGGUGAUGUUAUGGGAAUAUAUUAAGAAAUAGGGUUUGUUCUGAAAAGAAGGAAGAGCAUAGGAAUUUGUAUAUAAAAGUGGGAAAGGCGAAGGAAUAAGAAAAAGGCGAAAAGAGCAAAGGAAUUUUUCUUCUGAAAACAAGAAAACGACCACUUCAUUCACUUUAAUUUCUUCAACUCAAUUUUAUGGCAAAAAUAACUCAUUUAAACAACAUUCACCCCUUUUGUUAUAAAGGAGGUUUAUGUAGAUUUUGAAAUUUCCUUCCAACAUAGUUUUCAUCCAUUCUAUUAUUUAUUUUAGUCCUAUUUAUAGAAGUAUGUCUAGGGUUAUAAUAUUAAGAAUUUGAGUACAUCUCCACCCUAUCAUUUAUUAUAUUAUACUAGAAGUACGGUGAAGAGGUUAUAAAAAAGUAGAAAGUUACUUUACCUUUAUAAAAAGUUGGUUAAAAGUAUUCAUAUUUAUUAAAACGAUAAUGAUAUUUAGUCAACAUUUUUUUAUAACAUUUGAAUAUCAUCUACGUGUCAUUCUGUGAUUGGUUUAUGGUGAUAUUUAUGAUUAUUAUUAUUGAUUGUGAAGUAAUUUUGGUUCAUAGUGUCAUUCUGUGAUUGGUCCAUGGUGAUGUAAUGUUUAAGAAAUGACAUGUCAUUGUUGUAGUGUUUGCCUUAACAUUCAAAAUGAAGGGUUUCUUUUUUCUUUUAAAUAGAAAAGAAGAAGAAUGUAAUAGAAAAAAAGGAAGAAGAAGUUACUUUAGAUUCAUUUAAAGAAAGUUUCACUUAGUAAAUGGUGGUGUUUGUUGUGUUCUGGUAUUCAUUUCUUGUUCAACUUUCUCAUGGAAUGAGAAAGAAAAAAAAUGAAUAUGUUUCAGAAAAAUGGGAUUGCUAAAUUAUAAAAGUUGGAAACGUUGUCAGAUGGAGAACAAGAUAGUUUCAUACAACUUAGGAACGAGAAAUGGGUAAUGCGAAUUUUUUUGGGUUGGUCUUAUAUUUUGUUGAUCUUCAAAUUUCUUUCACAGUGUUUGUCUUCUGUUGCAAAUCUCUCUUUCGAAAUUUCUAAAUCCCUUUUUAAUAUUCUUCUUUCAAAAUCUCAAAUCUAUAAUUUCAAUUCCAGACAAAUAUAUUGGUCUUAUGUCUUUUUUUUAUAACCACCUUAAACAAAUUAGGACAUUACUCCAUUAGUUAAUAAUUAGUAUGAAAAUUUGUAUGCUAUAAUUAAUAUAUGAAACUGUGACUAGUUAUUUUCUACAAAAAUUAGUCUUUAAUAUUUAUAGAUAAUGUAAUAUUUAAUGAUGUGUAUAAUAAUGUAACUUUUAAACUUAUUAUUUCAAUUAAAUGAAUGACAUUAAAUAGUCAUUACAGGGAGAAAAGUGAAAGUUAAACCGUGUGUAAAUCAUAGCUAAAAAAAAUGUUCUUAAAAAAUAGGUUUUUUUUUUUUUAUUUAAUUUAAAACAGACUAACAAAUGUUUUUGGAUAUGAUAAGUUCGAUACCAUGUUUCGAGUUGUCAUAAUAUCCUAACAAUCUUUCCCUCAGACAACAGUGGACUAAUUUUACUUCUCCCUGAUUUGUCAAUUGUAAGAGGAAAUGAUAACGCAAGUGAAUGUGUUUACUUUUACCAUGCAUGACAAAUUUUUUGGAUAGUUUGAUAGUUGAAAUAUUGUUACAAAAAAAUUUGUGUGGCUUAAUUUCUAGCCUUUCAAAUAUAUCAAAUAUUCUAUUAUUUAAUGUUAAACAAUCAAAUAUUAUAUUAGUUAUAAUUUAAAUAUUAUUAUAUUUUGUGUAUAUAUCAUUCUUUUAAAAUAGGAAGAAUUAUAGGAUCCUUUUAUAUAUAUAUAUGAUACACUAUUUUUUAAAAUAAUACAUCAAAAUUAUUUUUGAUAUACUAUCAACAACCAAAUAUUAACAUAUUUUACAAUAUAAGAAUUAGUGUUUCUUUAUUUUAUUAAAUAUCAAUAAAAAUUAAUAAAAAAACAUGAUUUUGAAACUUUUACUAACUCUAAGAAUCAUAUUUUUACUCCUUAACACUAAUAUGACAAACUAUUUCAUUUUUUAAAAUACUUUAACCCCUCAAAUUUACUAAUUACGAAUUACAAAAAUUAAAGGGAUUUCUUUAAAGUUAAGUAAAAUAAUAAUUUUAGUCUUUUAAAAUUAAAAGAAAUUGUUAUUGUAGUCUUUAUACACUAAAUUUAAGAAGUGAAAACGAGAUUUAAAAACACUUGUUAAUCUCCCAAACUUAGUGCUUAGAAACUAAAACUAUAUUUUAUUAAAUUUGGGUGAUGAAUUUUUUUUUUAAUUUAAGGGCCUAACAAAAUUUACCUCAAAAGUUUAGGAUUGAAAAUAUUAAUGAAAACAUUUUCUUUAUUAAGAAUUGGAGAAAAAAUAGCAAUGAUCCAAAAUGCAAUGUAGAAUAAAAUAAAAUAAUUGAUAGAGUUAACAAGUUCACUGUGUGGUCCGUCCUUGAACACUACGUGAUGUGUUGAAGAAUAGUGUAUAGGACCACUUCUCGUAUUUAUCCAACCUUACACUCUUAUAAACCAUUCAUCUUUUAAAACCCCAUUUGAGGGACACUAUCCUUAACGGAGACACUUCCAACGUUCAUUUCAUAUCUAUCAAAACAAUAUAGCAAAACCACCGUCAGAAUUUGAGUAUUAUCACAUUAAAGUUACACAUUGAAUAUAAAAAAUUAAAAAUUAAAAUAAUUUUUUUUAUAAAAAUAAAUAAUUGACUUUGAAUUUUGUCACUACAAUAAUUUUUUUUCCUUACAAAGUGGAAGAGUUACCUUGCAAAGACUUCAAGACUUCAACUCCACAAACUUCUUUAAUCUUUACUUUUCAAAGUGUUUGUCUUCCUCCUUAGUAUUAGUCCUUAGUAAGGUAAACAUGAGUUGUGCCUCCAAAAGACAUUUUAACAUUCAAGUCAUCUUCAAACGUCACAAAGUAUUAAGGGUAUUUAAAGGGAAUGUAAAAAAGAUACCUCAAUGAUUGUGCUACUUAUGAUUUAUUACAUUUGUUGGCCCUUACCUGGAUGGACCUAGGUUUGGACUCAGUGGUCCAUUUACCUUAUCUAAAUUAGUGUUUUAUCAUAUUAUACUAAGUUAUAGAGUAGUCAAUAUGUCAUUAGUUUUGAUAGGUCGAUGAGAAGUCGACUAAACUGCCUAGUGGUAAUCACAUACCAUCAUAUUUGAUAUGUUUAGCUGCAUGCACUUAAUACGUAUUUGGUUAUAUUUUGUGUUAUAUCAUCCUAGGACGAGACUAAUGUUAACGUGGUUGAGGGGUACUCAGCCAUAUACCUCAUCCAUAUACAAUACAUCAGUCAUUCAGUUUUUUCAUAACAUGUUAAAGGCGUGUAAAAAGCUUCAAUGAAACAACAAUAGUGAGUCCUUAGAAUACUUGUUGACCCUAAUCUAUGUAUUUGAUAGUUGUCCUGUGGAGUUUUGCGAGGAAAUUUUGUAUAUUUGACUAUAACCUUACAUGUAUAGUAGUCACACAAUGACAAAGAGUUUGUAAUGGUUUAGUGUUAGGGCUAACGUGGUGAGGAAGGUGAAUGAGCAUGAUUGACGUGUGGUGCAUGAAAUGUUGUGCUACUUCAAAGGGGAAUAGUCACGACUCUUAGGCUAUUUAACCUAAUUCUCUUGGCCCAUUUAGGUGGAAGGCGAAUCGUUACCAAAAUUAUUAUAAAUAGAGGCCUCAUUCGACCUAAUUCACCACCAAGUCUCAAAAGAUUGCUUUGAGGCUGCCAUUUGUGUCAGAAAAAUGCAUCCUUUUAGAAGUCGAUAACUUUGAGGUUGAGUACUUAUAAUUCUCAAUAGCGUUGUACUAGUUUAAACAAGAGUUCUAAUUUUAGGGAAGAGUCAAAUAAUAAUAAUAGUGUUAUAGUCGGGUGUCAAUAUUGUCAGAUGUGACCUCAUCUCGUGGUAUGAGGGUGGAGACAAAAGUUGUAAUGGAAAAUAGGAAGAACCCUAAGGAACACAUCGAGUUUAGGUUACCUAAAGGAGAGGGUAUGAGUGGGUGGACCCCUUAAUUAAAAUUCAUUUCUCUAAGUUUAGGUGGUCUGUGAUUUUAAACUCUUGGUUAAACAACACCUAUGUUUUUUUAUAAGGGAGUAUCCAAGGACAAUGUAUCUCUUAGGAGGGUAAGCAUCAUUAACAAUGUCUAUCAUGGCCGAAAGGGGUAUGAAGAUGACUUUUUCUUUAUAUAUAUGGCAUUUUUUGUUUUGUUAAAUGUUUGCCUAACGUUCAACGAGUUCAUAAUAGGUGUACUUAGGCUUUUGAGCAUAGCUAAAACGUAAUUACAUUCAAACAAUUGGGGUUGCCUUAGUGUGUAAAGUAGUGUACCUAUCUCCUUCUCUUGAGUAUUUUUUGUAUUUUUAUCUUACACAGCCAAGGGAUCCGAUUACUUGGUUAUCCGUGGUGAGUAAGCUUGAUACCUGCCUCUUAGGUGUCUACUCCAAAUCGUUCAAGAAAUUUAAGAAUGGGUUCUUCAGGGUAAUAAUUAACUUUGUCAAUGACUCACACUUCUUUGAUGAAAAUGAUAAUAAGAAAAUCUCCUUUUAUUGGACUGAAAACCCUCUUAGGUAUAAGGAAUGACUGAAGGAUAUCCUAUUUGAGAAGGAUCGGAGGAUAGUGCGAAUAUUGGAACAACUCCCAAAGAAUUUUUCGACGAAGAACACUGUUAGAGUUUACCUGUGUAUUAGACUAAUUAUUAAGUUGCAUGGUUAGUGCAGAUUAGACUGAAACUUAAACAUUUUCUAAACUGAUCUGAGCAUUUUAUGGUGCUUGUAGGUUAUAUGGCUUAACAUUCUGCUAAAGUAAGAGCGGAUAAGGACAUCUUCCGCCACCUACGGAAUCAAUUAACUGAUAAGGCCAAGAAGAUGAAAAACUAUUGUUCCCAAGCAAAGGGGUGUUGGAAAAGAUAGAAAGAAAUUAAAGGUCGAGCUGCUUGGUUGUGGAGAAGGUGUGACUUCAAAGAGUAAAUCAUCUGACUUAGUGGUUUGGAAGGUCCUUCUGUCAUGAUGAGAAAAAGAUGACAUAUCAGCUUAGAAGACAAUAAGUUGAGCUGAUGAAAGAAGUCACUACCCUUGCUCAAACUAUGAUCGAAUUUCAAAGUUGGCCUCUUGUUAUCAAUUAGAGGGUAGAAAAGUUGCUACAAAAAGAGUUAGCCAAUGGGAACAAGAUGAAACAGGCCGAGGACCUGAUAAUCUUGUAAAAGAUCCGUUAAGAGAAGAAAAAUACCUAGACCAUUUAAAAUAAUAAUCACAUGUUUUAUCUUUUUUAAUAUUUUUAUAAAAUAAUAAAUAUAUUUUCUAACUUGUAAAAGAGAUUCAAUAAAAUAGUAGUAAUCUUUCUAUGUUUUUAAUGAAUAACAUUUGUAAUAAUUAUUCUAUUAAAAAUAACAUAUAAAUUAAACUAUACUUUUUUUUUCAUACAAGAUAAAACUUUUUUUUAUUAUAUAUUAACUAUAGGAAAAAUUACAAUGUAGUUAAUGAUAAACCGUCUUAUAAUAUAAAUGAUUAUAUUUGUGCACGUAUCAAACAUAUAAUUAAAUUUAUUUAUAUUUAUAUAUGAUUUUAAUAUAAUUAUAUACAUGUUGUUAAGCAAUAUAACUAUAAAUACAAAUAAAAUAAAGAAUAUCGGUAAUAUUUUAUUAAUUAUAUAGAAUAUCCCAAUGUUUAUUUUAAAAUAAAAAUAUAUAAAUUAUUCAUAAAAAAAUCGUAGAAGGGAUGGAAUUUUUUCAUAGUCAUAUGAUUCCAUUUUUAUUUAUUAACCAUUUUUAAUUGGCUUAAAUCCUUAAUUGGUCCCAUGUUAAGAGGGAAUUUUCAGUUUAGUACCUAUUUUUAAAAGUGUAUAUAUUGGGUCCCCAUGUUUUGCAAUUUGUGUCAAUUUAGUGAAUUAAUGACACUUCAAACAAAUUUGUAACAGCAAUUGGAAGGUGUCCAAACAUGUUCAAACAGUUAAUAAACAUGUUGCAACUCAAAAUGACUUGUCCACUUGCAAUUUUCAAGCCAAAUUGAUGGUUCAAAGAGACUAAAUUGACACAAAUUGCAAAACAUGGGGACCCAAUGUAUACACUUUUAAAAGCGGAUACUAAACUGAAAAUUCCCUCCUAACAUAGGGACCUCAUUAAGGAUUUAAGCCUUCUUAAUUUUUAUACUUUAAAACUUUAAUUUUUAAUCAAUUUUUAUUUAAUGUUUUUAAUUCGAAUAAAACAAUAGAAAGUAAGUGACACUCUAUUAAACAUAUGAAAGAUAUGAAUAUUAUUUUACGAAAAACAUUAGAGCAUAUGUGUGUCUUUUUUAAAAAUUAGAAGAAUGUAAUUGCUAUUUUAUUAAAAGCAUAAAAAAAUAAAUAUCAUUUGACUAAAAAUAUGAUAGAAAGUAUUGUUAUUAUUUUAUUGAAAACUUAAGAAAAUUAAUAUCUAUGUUAAAACUAAAAGAAGAAUUAAGUCUAAUUUUUCCACAUACUAAUUAUAUUGCUUCCAAAUGAUUUCUUUAAACUCAACCAAAUUUAAAAAAAUAAAAAUCUAAUCAAAUUAUUUCAAAGAAUAUGAAUAAAAAAAUGUAACUUAUUUUAUAGUUAACUUAAAUAAAUUAUUAUUAAAUGAAAUAAGUGAUUUUUGAUUUUGUUAAUGUAAAGAAAGGAAAUAGGGAAAAACUGUCUUGUUUAUUUUGAAAUAAAUUAUGAGAGAUAUAUACAAGAGAGUUAUUGUUGUAAUUAUUUUAUAAUAAUGUAACAUUAUUACUUUAAUUAUUCUAUAAUAAUGUACAUUAUUACUGUAAUUAAUCAGCUAUAAUAAUAACAAUAUAUUCUCUCGAUAAUAUGAGGAUAUGAUUUAUUUUCUAACACUCCCCCCAAGUUGGAGAGUGAAUAUCAAGAACUCCCAACUUGCGCUUCAUGAUAGAGAACAUUUCUUUUCCCAGUGGUUUGGUGAACACAUUGGCAAGUUGUUCAGCUGAAGGUACAUAUUUAGUUGCGACUGAGCCAUCUUGAAUCUUAUCACGAAUGAAGUGGCAAUCCAUCUCUAUAUGUCUAGUUCUUUCAUGAAAAAUUGGGAUAGCUGCAAUGUGUAAGGCUGCUUUAUUGUCACAAUAUAACAAUGUGGUUUAGGAUGCAAUAUCCGUAAAUCUUUUAACAAUGAUCGUAACCAAGUCAACUCACAACAAGUACCAGCCAAUGCUCUAUAUUCAGCUUCUGCUGAGGAUAGAGAAACCGUCUUCUGCCUCUUUGUUCGCCAAGAGAUAAGGGAAGAUCCCAAAAAAACACAAUAACCUGUAGUNGAUUUUCGGGAAACUGGGCAACCUCCCCAAUCUGAAUCACAGAAAGCACGCAAAGAUAAAUCAUUUUGUGAAGAGAAAAACAGACCUUGACCUGGGUUAUUUUUUAAAUAUCGUAGCACACGCAUUGCGACUUUCAUAUGAGGCUUGCGUGGAGUGUGCAUGAAUCUGCUCAGUAUGUGUACCACAUAGAUGAUAUUUGAACGGGCAAUUGUCAAAUAAAUUAAGCAACCAACAAAUCGCCUAUAUAUUGAUGAGUCCUUUAAUAAUUCCCCUUUAUCAGAAAGCUUUAUAUUUUGUUCCAUGGGAAAAUCCACAGGCUUAGCUCCAAGAUACCCACCAUCUUUAAUAAUUUCCAAAGCGUAUUUCCUUUGUGAUAUGAAAAUACCUUUCUUAGAACGAAAAACCUCAAUACCCAGAAAAAAAUUUAAGAUCACCCAAAUCUUUUAUCCGAAAACGAUUGUGUAGAAAUUGUUUAAGAUUGGAUAUUGCAAUUGGGUUAUUACCAGUUAUGAGAAUAUCAUCAACAUAGAUCAACAAAGUUGUAAAAGACUUGCCUUUUGUACAUGUAAACAAUGAGUAAUAUGCUUUUGAUUGAAUAAAGCCAACACUUUGAAUAGCUGUAGAGAAUUUGGCAAACCAUUGACGAGAUGCUUAUUUUAAUCCAUAUAAGGACAUGUUGAGGCGACACACAAGAUUCUCCCCCUGUCUCUGAAAACCCAGGAGGAAGGGACAUAUAGAUUUCUUCAAAAAGAUCAUCAUGAAGAAAAGCAUUAUGGACAUCAAGCUGAUGAAAAGACCAAUGUUGAGCAGCAGCCAAAGCUAAUAAACAUCGUACAGUAACCAUUUUAGCAGUAGGUGAAAAAGUGUCAUGAUAAUCGAUACCUUCUAGUUGGGUAUAUCCCUUUGCAACUAGACGCACCUUAUACCGUUCAAGAGAACCAUCAGAUUUGCGCUUGAUUUUGUACACCCAACGACAACCAAUAUCCUGCUUUCCAGGAGGAAAAGUGGUGAUAGACCAAGUAUUAUUGGCCUCUAAAGCAGCCAACUCAGAUUUCAUUGCCUCUUGCCAAUGAGUGUGAGAACAGUUUGAUCAUAACACGUAGGUUCAAUAUCAUUAGUAAUAACGGCAAGAAAAGAACGAUGUUGAGGUGUGUAACGGUCAUAAGAGAUAAAAUUGCAGAGAGGAUAUCAUGUACCUUUAUUCGGAAAAAAUGAUGGGGAUGACAAUGGGUCGGGAGACGCUACUGGAUUGCAAAUAUAAUCUCGCAAAGUUGUAGGAGGACCAUGAGAUCGUUGAGUACGACGUAAGGGAACCAUAAGUGGGGAAUUAAUGGGAGGAACAAUUCUGUUUUCUGUAGGUGCUGGUUGAGUGUGUGGAGGAUUAUCUGGGAUAACAUUAGGUAUGAUAGGGUCUAGGGUGGUUGGAGGAGUGUCAAUUGAUUCAUACGGAAAAAUAUCCUCAUGGAAGACAACAUCACGACUAGUGAAGACUUGGUGAGUUUCAAGAUCAUAUAACUUGUAAGCUUUUUGGCCAAGAGGGUAACCAAGAAAAACACAUCUUUGGGCACAAGGAGCAAACUUAUGAGAAACAUGAACAUUAGUAGCAUAAGCAAGACAUCCAAAAACUCUAAUGUGUGAAUAAGAAGGAAUUUUACUAUAUAGACGCUCAAAUGGUGUCUUGCGUGAAAGAAGAGGUGUGGACAACCGAUUAAUUAUAUGGACAGCAGUGGAAACACAUUCUGCCCAAAACUGUAAAGGGAGAUGAGCUUAAAAACGAAGAGCUCGUGCUGACUCAAGGAUAUGUCUAUGUUUGUGCUCAACAACCCCGUUUUGUUGUGGUGUGUAUGUGCAAGAAUGUUGGUAAGUGGUACCUUGUUGUGUAAAAAAAUCUCGCAGAGAAAAAAAUUCCUUUCUAUCGUCAACCCGAAUAUUGGCUAUAUUGGUAUUAAAUUAAGUUUUGACUAAAGAAAAAAAAUUUGUAAGAAGAUGUUGGGUUUCACUUUUAUGGUGCAUGAAAAAAACCCAAGUAAAGCGAGAAAAAAUCAUCCACAAUAGUCAAAAAAUACCUAGCACCAGAAAGAGAAGGAAUUUUAUAUGGUCCCCAAAUAUCACAAUGAAGUAAUUGAAAAGGUUUAAUUGAAGAAAUAAAACUAGUUGGAAAAGGAAGUCGUGUCUGUUUUGCAAGAGUACAAACAUCACAAGUUUUAUUUAACUCGAAAGAGAGAUUUAACAAAGUUUUAGCCAUGAAGUCUAAUCUAGAUGGAGAUAAAUGUCCUAGUCUUUGAUGCCAUAAGGUAGUAGAAGUGUUUGAAGAAGGAGAGGACUUGGUGGCAUGGGCUGCUAUGGAUUGAAUGGGAGUUUGUGACUUGUUUGAUGUCAUUGCAACCAAGUAAUAGAGUCCGCCUUGUUGUUUACCCAAACCAAUUGUCAUCCUCGUCAUCAAAUCCUGCAAAAUACACCCAGAAGGAAAAAAAGUUACUGAACAGUUUAAAUCUCGUGUGACUCGACUUACCGACAUCAAAUCUACUCUGCAAGAUGGCACCCCAAGCACAUUUUUUAAAUAAACAAUUGGGCUCAAAGGUAGAGUGCCAGUAGAGAUAAUUGGGGCCUGGUCACCAUUUGACAUAACAACUGGUGGUAAAAAAGUGUUUUCUUUACUAUUAACAAGCAAGGUUGGUUUAGAAAUAAUGUGAUCGGUAGGCCCACUAUCAAUUAUAAGUUUGGGUGGUGACAAACCUGAAGAAAAAUUGGCGCUUUUGGCCUUAGGAUUAGUUGAUUGAGAUGAUUCAUUACCCUGUAUAAUAGACAACAUUUGUUGGAGUUGCAAGUCAGUUAAUCCAUGUAUAAUAGUCCACAAUAUUAGCUAAAGAUUGACUACUCCCAUUGUGCUUAGAGUAAGCAUUCUUGGUUGCUCCGUGUUUUGAAUGUUCAGGAGGAUAACCAUGUAACUUCCAGCAUGUGUCUUUUGUAUGAUAAUCUCUAUCAUAGUGAGAACAAUGCAGCGACUUUCAAUUAGAUGAAUUAAGACGAGAAGAAGAGCCUUGUUUGCGUCAAACAACAAGGGCUACUGGUUCAUUGUUUUGAAUAGCCAUGGUUGAAGCUUCUAUUGUGUCACGUGUGGUGCUCAAAUGUCGUUGUUUUUCUUCUUGAAUGAUGGAAGAAUAAGCUUGUGUAACAUCAGGCAAUGGAUUCAUUAAAAGGAGUUGGCCACGAAUAGCACUAUCAGAGUCAUUCAACCCCAUGAGAAAUUGCAUCAAUUUGUGCCUUUUACUGUCAGCUCCACAAGUGCAGGUUGCAUUACUAUAGGAGCCUAACUCAUCCCAUAAUUUUUUUAGCUUCGUGUAAUAGGCUGCAACUGUCAUUUGAUCUUGAGCCAAGCAAGUAAUGUCUCUCUCGAUCUGAAAAAUUCGUGGUGCGUGGCUUUGAGAGAAACGAUUUUGAAGAUCUCUCCAAACUUCAUGAGCAGUUUCAUAGAAAAUAACACUAUCUACAAUAUUAGGUGCCAAAGAAUUAAAGAUCCAAGAUAAGACCAUGUCAUUGCAUUUUUUCCAUGUUGUAUAUUCUUCUGGUUUGGCCUCAACAGAAGGUACGGCGAGAGUUCCAUCAACAAAACCCAAUUUGGAUUUUGCAUUCAAAGAGAUGGCCAUGGCUCUACGCCAAGUCGGAUAGUUGUCUCCAUUUAGAGAUUUGGAAACAAGAACCAUUCCAGGAUGGUCAGAAUGAUGGAGAUAAUAAGAACUAUUGGAAUUUGAUUCAUUUCCAUAGUUAGCCAUGACAAUAAGGAUAAAAAAAAAUGAGCAAAGGAUCCUUUCUGCUCUGAUACCAUAUAAAGAAAGAAAAUAGGAAAAAAUUGUCUUGUUUAUUUUGAAAUAAAUUAUGAGAGAUAUAUACAAGAGAAUUAUUGUUGUAAUUAUUCUAUAAUAAUGUAACGUUAUUACUGUAAUUAUUCUAUAAUAAUGUAACAUUAUUACUGUAAUUAUUCUAUAAUAAUGUAACAUUAUUACUGUAAUUAUUCUAUAAUAAUGUAACAUUAUUACUGUAAAUCAGCUAUAAUAAUAACAAUAUAUUCUCUCAAGGAUAUAAUUUAUUUUCUAACAUGUAAUUUUUUCUCGUAAUCUUUUAUACUUUAACAAUAAAAAUUAUUACAUUUAUAUAUAUUAUAUAUCUCAAAUGGCGAUAGACUUCUAAAAUAGGGCAACACAUUACAAGUGUCAACCUUAUGACACUUCUAAAUUUCUCAAAAUUAUCUAUUUUAAAAUGAGUAUUAAAAGUUCAAAUUCGUGAUUCCAAAAUUUGAAGUAUGAAGAUGAAAAUAAAAGGCAAAACGUUCAUCUUAUAAAAACUAAAAAUAAAAUAUUGAAUUUUAUAGGAAUGAAAAAAAAAAUAUAUAUAUAUAUAUAUAUAUAUAUAUAUAUAUAUAUAUAUAUAUAUAUAUAUAUUUUAUGAAAAAAACAUGGUUAUUUCAUAAAGCAAUAAAAAUAGGUUUAAACGUUAUCAAUUUGGUUUUUCUUUUUGUGUUUGAAAAACAUAAACCCUUCAAACCUUUAAAACAUUUAAACCCUUAACUUCUGCGCCCUUGUUGUUUCCUUCUCCGCCCACCCAUCCACGGCGGAACAAAAUUCUCCGAACCAAGGUCCGAGCCGAAGUCCGAGCCUUCAAAUUCAAUGGAAGAAGAUCACACGGAGCCAUUGAAGGACGGUUCGGACCUCUGCCAGCAGCUCAUGGACCGCUACGCCAACUCUGCUGCGCCGCAGCACCGCCACCUCCUCGCCACCGCCGCUGCCCUGCGCUCCAAUAUCGCCACCGAGUCUCUCCCACUUACGCCGCCCGCAUACUUCGCCGCCGCCAUCUCGGCCCUCGACGCCGCGGAGGCGCUGGACCCCGUCGCCCUCUCCGCCCUGGUGUCAUUCAUGGCCAUCGCCCUCCCCCUCGUGGCCCCCGGCGGCAUCGCGGCGUCGAAGUCGCACAAAGCUUCGGAGAUCCUCGUUGCAGUUCUGGCCAGGGAGGGUGAGGAGUUGGGCGCUGCGUGCAUGAGGGCCAUGGUGAAGUGCUUGGGGGUUUUGAUUGGCUUUUGUGAUUUGGAGGAUUGGGACGGAAUCAAAUUCGGCGUUGAAGCAUUGCUCAAGUUCUCCAUUUGCAAGCGCCCCAAGGUUAGAGUUGAUUGAGCUAUUUGUUUUCAUGCUUAAUUUAUAUAUUACACACACACACAAUUAUGGGUGGAUUUUGAUGAUAGCAUUUUGAGCUUGCAGUGUGCGUUUACUAAUUUAUGGCCUUCCAACUUUGCAGACAUUGGUCCAUGCAAUCGUAUCAUUCCCAAUUUUGUGAUUACAAUAUUUGUUUUUUUAAUGUAUAAUCUAUAUUCAAUGUUUUAAGUUUCAGUAGAUUCAUUCGAUGAUAGUUUGUACCUUGCAAUGUAAUCAUCAUCCUGCGUUUGGUUAUGGCCUUCAAAUUCAAUGUUGCUGACAUCUGUCCCUGCCACUGUGUAUGUUUUGUUUUCUUUCGUUUAUAUCCAACGUGGCGCCAAUGUGGUGGUCUUGGAGGCCCCUUCAAUCACUUUCAAAAGGAAUCAGUUGAGAGUACAUGCUUGCAAUAUUCUGCAAUUUCAGUGCUGCAACUGUGACUGCAACUCUAGUUUUAAACUCUCUCUGUGUGAUGCUUUUACUUUGCAGUGCAAUCAGCAUUGGUUAUGGCCUUUGAUUUCGGGACAUUGGUUGAUGACUGUUAAUCAUUUGACCACUCCGAGGUUAUGGAAUUUUUCUCUGUUUAAAUUGUGUUGUGGUUUGUUUGAUUGUUUUAGGUACGCAGAUGUGCUCAAGAAGCUAUGGAGAAGGUUUUCAAGUCUAUCAAAGCCUCCACGGUUACCAACGAAGCUAGCAAGUUGGUUUUGUCAGAGCUGAAAAGUUGUAGUGCUUUGGCACUGAAGUUAAGUGCUUCGAGGACUUUUGAUGGAUGUAAAGAAGAUAAGGUUUUGAGUCAUUUGGAGGUCCUACAUCUUAUGAAUUUAAUUAAUCUCAUUGCUCCAUAUCUAUCUACGAAAAUCAUUCUGAAAGUUCUUUCAGAAGUGCAUAAAUUAUUUAGUUUUAUGUCUUCGGAACUUGCAAGGCAUGCACUUAAAACUAUUGAAGCUAUUUUUGAAGCUUUUAGAAUAAAAGAUAUAGUGCUAGAGAAAGAGGACAUUGUGGUUUCUCUUACUUCAUUUGUAUCUUUGAGGGAUAAGAACUCUUUGGAUACUGUGAUUUUGGCAUCAAAACUAUUAGGAGUUGCAAUGGACUUACUUUAUAAUGGAAAAUCAAGCUUGUGGAUCAAGAAUCUCCCUCCAGUUUGCAGAUCUGUGAUUGGUAAGUAUGGUUCAUCCACGUUCAUCAAUAGUAGAAUAUUUGUUAUAUCUCUGAUUAUUUUAUUUCAUGUGGUUAUUUGCUGAGCACUACCUUCUGAUUUUUUUUUUUUAUUGAAAAGUAUGCUCUAUCAAGUUACGGUAGAUCAUAUCAUUACAUAAUUAAUUAGUGAAUUAGAAAUCAAAAUCUAUCAAUAAUUCCCAUGUAAAACAUUUUCCAUGCAGCCGCAGAGCAAUACUUUGCUGUUUUUCACCAUGAAUUUCUCCUAAGGAAUUUUUAUGGCAAGUUGUUUCUUCAAAUUUAAAAUUAUUCAAUUCCUAAAACUUUUUUAACUGUUGAUGAUAAAAUGAUAGAUUAAUUAUGUCACUGUGUGAGUGUUGUUUUGAAAGCUGUAUUUUCUUUAACACCUUAACUUCUCUUUUUGUUAUCUUCCAUGCAGCAUUUGAAGGUUAUUUGUUAUUUCAUUAUUGGUUUUAUUGAAUUAAUGGUUUGGGGAAUUGGUGUUGCUAAAUACGUAAUUAAUUUUAUUGAUACUGCUGUUAACCCCUUGUAUUUUCCCUUUUCUAUGGUAUUUUUUUUCCUGAGUCGAGCUACCAAUUUUGAGUUCAGGUCUUCUAAAUUUUGAGGGAAACACUGCAUCACAAGCUUCAAAUAUUUUGAACGAUGUGCUAAAGCAUCAUAUUAGUCACUUAAGCGUGUUGAUGGGUACAGAUCAAACAUUUCAUGAUGGUAGUCUGGAACGUGUCAAAGCAGAUGCAAUAAAAUCAACAUGUUCUGUUUUUGAGGAUGCCCUUUCUUCUACUGAUGGAAUUCCAAAUGAGCAUGUUUUGUCAGUCAUAUCUGUUUUAUUUCUCGAGCUUGGUACGUGAUACUCUUGUUAUUAUAUUAGUGUAACGUAUAGAGGAAUUGUUCUUUUAAAUUUCAUUUAGGGAGGUCUAUAACAGCUUGCACUCCUUGCUCUACCAAAUGAGACAGACCCCCUCAAUUUUCUUUUAUAUUGCCACCAUUAAUGAUUAAUGUUUAUAAAAAAAUUAGGUGUUGUAUCUUUUUCCAGUUUUUUGUGUAUGGAUGGAACAAGGGAGCUGUGUUUUAGUUGAUUUAAUGUUGGUUACAUUACUUUCCCUUUAUAGAUUUCAUGGUACAGGGUCAUGUUUGUGGUCUCUUUUUUGUGUUCUGAAUUAGAAGAGUUGAGCUCUUCUCUUGUGCUUAGGUCCUAACAAUUGGUGUUUUCACGUGAGUUUAGCUAUGACGAGGGUUAACUAUAGGUUGAAUUAAGGUGCAAACUGAAUAAGGAUAUGUUAAACAAUAGGAAAGAGAGACAUUGAGUUGAAACCGUGUAUUUUUGAGACAACACAGGUGCUUUAUUUAUAUUGAGAAAACAAAAUAAAAAAACUAAAUAGAGGAUAUUUGAUCCUUUAAUAAUAAAUGUAUGGUACGAGAAUAAAUAAAAUUGUUCUUAAUUAUAAAUGUAUAAUCUAGACGUUCCUGAUUAUAAAGGAUCUGUAUCUUAUUUCUAUAGUUAUAACAUUGCACUUUUUAGUUAGAGCAUAUAGAUCAUAUGUGCUCAGCUUGCUGCAAAUAUGAUCAGUCCUUGGAGACUUGGUGAAUAUUGUCAGCCAACUAUUCACCAAAGUGAUAAAUUUAGUGGCGAUGUCUCCAGGCUCCAAGUUGCCUCUUGUGAAUGAUAAUCUAUGUUAGUAUGUUUGCUUCUCUCAUGAAAUAUAAUAUGGAGGCAAUGUGUAGUGCUGCAUGGAUGUCACAUUUAAGGUGCAUACGGGGUGCAAGUGGACAGAUUCUAAAGUGCAUACUGUUUGCAUCCCAAUGUGGUUGUAAUCUAUAAGCAAACAAACCUCUUUGUGGCAAGCUAUACAAGCCCAAAGUCUUAACAUAUGUAACAUGAAGCCACCCAAGCUAAGCAGGGCCCUCAUAACUGUGUUGAAAGAAGUGUCAAGAGAUCUCAGCACACUGUAGGAUUGUUGUCUGCCAUUGGUAUAUGGGCCUCACUUCAAAGUUAUCGAAACGUUUCAUGCCGACAAAAAAUAGGUUUGGGUGAGGAGUGAAUUGUGGAUUUAAUAACAUUACAUUGUUAAGCAUUAAUCUUCAUGCAUUGUUCAUGUUUUGUAGGAAUAGAUUUAACAAUUGUGGAGAGACGAGCAUUGUAGCCCAACCCACUUAAUCAUUACUUAAUUUUGAAAUCCUAUGUGGAACAGGUAGACCCAUCCAUCGUCUUUAUACUAACAAUAUGCUUUGUAAAGAAGGGUGAAUCUGUUAUGGAUGUUUAUUGGCCGUUGGAAGAGAUCUUUUGUCUAGAAAUAUGGAAAAAAUAAUAAAAUAAUCUGAGAAAAAUAAGUUGAACCACUGAAUGAUCUCCAAUGGAGCUACCACCACAGGAGUAGGGUCAUACGAAGGUGGUAACAUGGCGCAGGUUGGUCAGCCAUGAGACAUUAUUGCAAGUUCUGCCAUGUGCUGACCAGAGUUGUGAACCGCAGGAGAGAUGAUGCACAUGCACAUCCUUACAUUGAUGGGUGGUUUGAGUCAGAGUUUGUACAGUUGGGUGGAUGGGCUUAGUGUAAUCCUAACCCCAUGCUCUUAGAGCAAACAGGUUUUCAGAAACCUCACCAGAGACUACCAAAACAGUGAGUUGACCUACUAAUAUGGUUUUGAAAAAGGCUUUAGAAAUCAUGUCAAACUAUAGGAAUUCCCAGAAGUAGGAUAAUGUACUUGAUGUUGUACUUAAGUCUUAAAGUUCUCCAACAUAAUGAUUUGUUUUUGGGUUGAACUCUCCUCAUGUGCUUAAGUCCUAAGAUGGAUAUAUCCCGUUUACAAGGCUGCUUGUUUGUUUUUAAAUUUAUUUCGUGGGGAGAUAAUGUCUUAUUAUCUGUUAUCACACUUGUUUCUUUAUCAAUAAUAACAUUUCUUCUUUAAGAGACUAAUAGUUGUAAAACUACAUGUUGUCCAUAUCUUCUUACUUUCUUGUAUUCCUUUUUGGUUAAAGGAGAAUUCUCAUUUGUGUUGAUGAGGAACAUUGUGCUUAAGCUUGCUGACUUGAUGGUUCAAAUUUCGGGAGGCAAGGUUCAUAAUGAGCAUGUAAGUACCCACAAAGAUUCUGUUGUUUUUCACUCAUUUCAAAAUCUCUGGGGUAGUUCACUGUUUAUUUGCUUUUAGAUCAGCAUUGUGGAGCCUUACUGGAACACUUUCUGAGGAUAGUUAUUUAUUUUUAAAUUUUCAGUGUAACGAUGUGUAUAUUGAUGUAUUAAAUAUUUUUGUUUAUUCACACUGUCAAUGAAAUAUUUUUGUUUGUUCACACAAAAUUUCUGGGGUAGUUCCUGUCUAUUUGCUUAUUUAGUGAUCAUCUUUUUUCUCGAAAACAUUAAUUACUACUUACUACUAGUACUUUUCUAUUACAGUUAUAUCUGGUUUGGUACAAUUUAAACUGAUUGCUGAUUCAUCUGUUUUUCAUUUUUAUGCAGCUUCAGAAAUGCAUUGGGUGUGCUGUUUAUGCUAUGGGUAUAGAGAAAUUUCUUUCACUUGUACCUAUAUCCCUUGAUGAACACAGCUAUACUUAUUCAAAUAUUUGGCUACUACCAAUCUUGAAGCGCUAUGUUAGUGGUGCAUCACUUGCAUACUACAUGGACCAUAUCAUGCCUCUUGCCAAGUCCUUUAAGAAGGCUAGUCGAAAAGGUAUAUUUUAUGUUAUGUGCUUUGAGGCUGUUUUCUUUCUUCACUUUUUUUUUUCUUUUAAUGCGGAGGAAACUUGAGUUGUUUUUUCUUAUGUUUAUCCCCUCUCUGUAAUUACCACUUGCAUUGCUUUGAGCCUGGUUCCCAUCCCCCUUUUUCUUUACAUUUUUGACUUAGAUCGAUAAAGCUUGUCUGAUUUUCUAUUACUUCCAAAGCAGAGAAGCUUCUCAAAAUAAUUGUGUCUGCAAAUAGUGAAAGAUAAAUUACUUGUCCAUUUUGUUUAUAUAAACCAUAAUAGGAAAAGGAAACUAAUUUGUAGCAAUUAGAUAAUUUGGGAUAUUCUGAUGAUUUAGAAAAACAACUAGAGAAAAACAUUGUAUGUUUUCUUGUUCUCAAAUAUUUUCCCCCUUUGCCGCUGUCCAUACAAUUCCAGUUUUACGACAAUCACUUUUUUGUUUAAAUUGGGGAGCAAAUUUUUUCCUGUUUCUUUCAGUCAGAAAGUCAGAGAUUAGUCAGGAAAUGAUGGCCUGUGCUCAUGACCUUCGGGGACUGCUGCCUGCCUUUUGUCGUCAUGCAACUGAUACUUACGAAAAUUUUACUCGUCUCUCUGAUGUCCUUAUUACUUUUCUUAAGAAGGAUCCUUCCAUUCAUCAAAAUGUUUCCAAGGCAUUGCAGGUAACACUUCCACAAACUAGUGGAGACCCUUGUAAAUUUUUUUGUUAUAUCCUUUUUAUUUUUUUCAGUUGUUUUUCCUUCUAAAAUGGUUAUGAAUUUUGUGCAGAUUCUUGUAAAUGAGAACAAAACUGCACUUAGCCCUAAAAAGAGUAUGGAAGAUUGCCUUGGUGAAUAUGAUUUUUUAUCGGAGUUCAGCAUGAAACCUACUUAUUCAAAGAAAGCUGCUACCAAAAACAUAAAGUCAUUGGCGUCUUGUUCAAAUCAGUUGCUGUAUGUUUUAUCAGAUUUAUUUAUCAGUUCACUUCCUGAAGCACGCUUAUCUUUAAAGGUUCUGCAUUUAUCACUCGUGUUACUCAUUCUCCCAUAUAGAAUGAUACCUUUCUCUUAUGUUCUAUUUUGUUGUAGAAAAUGCAUGAAUUAUUUAUUUCUGCUAUUAUGGUGGAAUGGUCUUUUUCUACUUGGGCCAUUUAUAUAAUUUGAAGAAUUUCUAGGCUGAACAUUAUUGGCUUUUAACGUUGCCUCUUGCUUUUCUUGCCCUUAGAAUGCUGGUUGAUAACUUGUUUACACGUAGUUGUCAACUGCUUUCUGAUCUUGGUCAUUAUUAACUAUAUAUUGACGUUUUGAUAAUGUUUAAGUAAUUUGGAACAUUUGUUUCCUUUCUUUUUCAGGGAGCAAUUGGGUGCCUGGCGUCUGUCACUGAUUCUUCUGUAAUCAAAGAGCUUCUUCUGUCUCUGCUUAAGAGGUCUCAACUUGUAGAUUGUGAAGAUGAAGCUAAAGUAUUCUCAAGUCCUGGAGAGGUAGACAGUGAUCAAAGUGACUUGAAGGGAUGCUCUCAGAGGUACAAUGAUUAAUUUAUACAAGAGUAAUUUUCAGUGUUGGUGUCUGUUAGCAUUUCUCAAAUUAUAUUGGGUUUGCAUUUCUUUUUUGUUUCUUAACUGAGAUAGUACAUAUUUUUUUUUCUGCUGUUUUUUGAUCCGAUCUACGGAGUCAGCAUCUUGUUGAUUAUCUGCUUACACUGGUUAAUUAUUUCCUUUGAUGGCUACACUGCAGUACCUGAUAUGUGAUAGAAGAUUAUGCAUAGUUCCUCUAAGUUUAAUCAUAGAAGUAUGCCAUUUACCAACACCUACAGCAAAAUAAUUGAGUGAUUUGCGGGAAUUAGCAAUCUAAAGACUCUAUUUUUCAUCUAAUUUUGGCCGUACAUUGCAAAAUUAUGUAGUAAAAUAAAACCAUUCAUGCCCACGAACAAUUUAAUGGUAUAUUGCCAACUUGGUCAAGAGUUUAAUCCUUAACUUCUGAAUUCUUCUAAAACUUACAUUUAUGAUAAACAAAAGGUGGGUAGAUUGUCUGUGUUUCAUUCUGAAAGACUUUUGUGGGGUGAAACAUGUUAAGAGAUUUGAUGAAUCAUUUGCGUGCCUACUGCCAACUGGUUGAAGUUUUAAAGUGUUGGUGCCUGAUAGUAAUAACAUUUGUUUAUUUUUGGUAGCUGGACAAAAUUAAUUGAAAACUGUUUAUUCAGUUAUGAAUCUUGUUCAGAAGCAAACCUUCAUACAUAUUAGUUGAAUGGCUGAGCUUUUAUACAAUUACAUCUUCUUGAGCAAUAAAAUGAUGUUUCCAAAUCUAAAAUUAAUAGUAUCCAAACCAUAUGCCCUGAUAACCUGCUACUACCUUUCAAUUUUUUGUUAUUAUGUAAUGAAUACCAAAACAAAGUCAUUUUGUUCUUCAGGUGUCUGAUAUUGGAAAUGGUAUCUUGCCUAGUUGAAGGUGCAAAGGAUGAUCUGCUUGAGAAAAUUUAUAAUUUAACCAUACAUUCAUUUCAGGUAUUUUUCAAAGUUUGGAGAAUACUUUUAAUUGAUAUUACUUCUUUCUUUAAUUCUUUUGACUAACUAUAUAAUUUUGUAAAAUAAUUUCAUGUAUGUUUUUGGUUUUACAGGAAAUUGAUGAGAGUGUUCAUCACGAAGCAUACAACACAUUGAGCAAAAUUUUGGAGGUCUGGAUUUGUUUGAGAUUUUUUUGUUUCAUUUUCUCCCUCUUAGUCUUGUUAUCUGACUCUCUUUGUAUCUCUUAGAAAAUCUAAGAAAUAUUAGAUAUCUUUUUUAUAUAUCUAUACUGUUGUAGUGUGUACCCUAGGUGCUGUUAGGUUUUAUUUUUUCUAUUUUAUGAUUUGUUUCGUUUUUCAGUUAUGUUCCUAGUGAAUGUUGUAUUUAUUGAUUUAAUAUAUAAAAUGAGUAUAGAUUUCAAAACGGGCUGAAAUCCAUAGGCCAACAUGGCCCAUCACUAGUUUGGGUCAGGAUGCAUUGGAAAAAUUAGGAACAUUUUAGGUAUAUAAAAAAAGUCACUUGGUAGAACCUGACCCAUUAGGCUGAACCUGUGCUAACCGGACCAACUUGUGGGGAUUUGGUGAUGGUUGUGCACAAUGACAGAGAGUUUCUUUUCAUUUUGGAGAGGCGAGGUUUUCUUCCUUACUUUACACAGCAAUUGAUCCUUCUAUUUUUUUUGUUAAUGGGCUACUGGCCCAUUUUUUUUUAUCUUGAUUGGUUUCCUUAAUGGGCUGCCACAAGGUGUCGCAUUGAUGGCCCUUCCAGCAAAUCAUGACGAAAACCCAUGGUGGGCUGGGAUUCAACCUGUUUUUGCAGUUCUGGGUUCAUCAUAUCUUGCAUGUUUUUCUCUCUUUCAACUCUAUCUGUCUAUCUCAGUAUUGUUGCUGAAUGAUGCAGGAGAAUCCAUGCUUCUCUUCUUCUCGAUAUGUUGAGCUAAUUGAUUUAUUACAUGGAUUAAAACCUCCAACUGCAAUUACAUCUCUUAGAAGUCGAUAUUCUUGUUUUCGCCUGCUGAUGGUACAUGCAAUGAAGGUCAGAAUUCUCAGUUAUGAAUUAUGAUAAUGUUUCAUUCUUAUUUAAAAUUGAUUUAAUCUGCACAUCUUAGAUAUGUAUGACAUGGUUCUAUAAAUUUUUUGGCGAUUAUGUUGCAGAAUUCUAUUUUAGCAUCCAACUCCUUAUAUUGUUUAGUCCUUGUGUCAUUUUCAGUUGAUGCUGUAUUUAAACUCACCAAAACUGGAUAGGUAGCCUGACCGCUUUUUCUAUUUUGGUUCUAGUCACAUUCAAGAUUUAACUUGAUGUCUUUAUCUUUGAGUAAUGUACAUCUAAUUUUUUUAUUUUUUUACUAAAAUAAUUUUAAAUGCCAAUUAAAUUUUUUAUCGAGUGCCAUAAACUUUUUAAAUAAAAUUAACCGGCAACCAACUUACAGCAUUGAAAUUGCUGCGCUUGUUUCCAAAUACACUUGUACGCAAUAGGUUUUCAGAAUUUAAGUUGGUACAAAAAUUCUUAUAUAAGUUUAUAUGAUUAUGUUUCUAAAGAAACUUCUGUUGCAGUUUCUUUUCCUUUGAUUGUUGAAAUUACAGUGAGGCUGGUUUAGCAAAUGUACAUGGCACUUUUGUUAGAUAUAUGCAUGGUUUUUCCUUUUAGUAUUCUGUGAAGAAGAGCCUGUCAAAAGUUAUAGCAUAUUAGACAUGUUUUCUUACUUGGUUUUGCUUGUUAGCCCAGUUAUUUUGACUAUCUUUGUAUUUCUUGCUCUUUGGUCUUUGAAGGAGGAUGGGAGGGGUGCAUAUAAUUUAUAUCCAGUCGUAAUAUUGUACAUUAUUGAGUGGUCAUUUCUUUUUUUUUUUUUAUAUAUACGUGUGUGUAUUCUGCAGGCUAAUUUAGAAGAAGAGGAGAACUCAAAGGUUUUUCUUAUUCUCAAUGAAAUUAUUCUCACAUUAAAGGAUGUAAGUAUAUGAAAUACUUGCCACUCAUAUUCUUGAAGAUCUUUGGCUUAGAUUUAGUACUGAUUUAUGUCCAAUGGUUCUGUUUAGGGCAAGGAUGAAACCAGGAAAGAAGCAUAUGAUUUGCUCUUAAAUUUAAGUUCUACCCUGAGAGACUCAUUAUGUGUUGGUUCUAUUGAACCAUAUCACAAACUAGUUAGCAUGGUAAGUCCAUGCAUGAUUUCAAUUUUGUUUUACUCAGAGGAUCACUAAGAUUUGAGCUACUAACUAGGCUGCUCCUAAAUAUGCUUGUGGGAUAUCACUAUAUUAAGUAUCGAACUUCCCAUGUUUAUCAUGCUCUUUAUUUGUUUUUUUAUAUAAGCCUACAAUCACGCAAUCAAUGCUGUGUCCAUUGUGUGAGGUGGAAACGUGUCAGUAACUUAUACUCUCAUAUAUUCUCACUCUACAGAUAAUGGGAUACCUUUCUGGAUCAUCUCCUCAUAUAAAAAGUGGAGCAGUGUCUGCGCUGUCUGUAUUGGUAUACCAGGAUACAAGUCUUUUAAUAUCUGUUUCAGGCCUUUUCCCCUCUCUUUUAUCUCUGCUGCAAACCAAAGAUGUGGAAAUCAUAAAAGUGAGUGUUAUACUUUUUUACGAUCAUAUUUUGAGUUUGAACAUCUUGCUGUUAUUGUUGUUUAAUUUUACAUCUGUAAUAGGCUGUCUUGGGCUUUGUUAAAGUGAUGGUAUCUAGCUUACAAGCAAGGGAGCUGCAGAAUAUUCUGUCAGAUGUUAUCACUGAAAUCCUCCCCUGGUCGUCUGUCUCAAGACAUCAUUUUAGAUCAAAGGUAUGAACAAUAUCUAAUGUUUAGCUCGGUCUUAAACAUGCUGGUGUGUGCUAAAUUAGAUGCACUUACACCUGCACAACAUGAACACAUUGAUCUGCAUACUUUACAGAUCUAUAGGAAUAAUGUGUUUUUAUUUUCUGCAGGUCACUGUUAUAUUUGAAAUAUUAUUACGGAAGUGUGGUUCUGCUGCUGUCAAACUGGUUACCCCGGAGAAAUACAAGUUUUUUCUCAAAACUGUUCUAGAGGUAAUGUUUUGAGUAUUGAUUAUAAGAUUAUGAUUGUAAUGGUACUUCUAUAGUUUAAGUUUGGUGUCAGCCUAGCUGAUACAUACAGAAUUGUAUGCAAAUCCAUGAAGGUCAGCAAAUAGUAGCUUAAAAAUUCAUAUCAAGAUUGGGCUUUUGAAUGAUUAGGCUUGUGCUUUAAAGGAUAAAAAUGAAAGCAAAUUUCAGUUCUUAUUUAGCAAAGGUUAUAUCUGCUCUCCUUUUGGUUCUUAUUUUUCCCUACUGUUUUCUGGGAUACACAAACUCUUAUUAGAGUGAUUUUUGUUAAAUUGGUGGAUUAAUUGUUAAAUUUCUUUUUUAAAAUUAAAUUGGUUGGAGAAAUUGUUACAUUAAAAUAUGUACAAAGAAUAGAAACAAAGAGAUUAAAUUUCUUCUCAUUAUGAAAGCUAACAGCACGUUUAAGGUUCCUUAUUUCCGUUAGUUUUAUUUUCAUCUAUUCUCAUUGUCAUCUGGGACAUUUUAUGCCUUAGUAUUUUUUUUUUUAUUAAUAUUUGUAUUGUGAUUCCAUCGGAAUUUUUAAAGUCAAGAUCAAUUAGGAAACUCCGUGGCCAAAAGAAUAUUCACAAUAAAACUUUGAUUCAUCAUUUGUUGGUUGGUGGGAAAUUCUUUUCUCCUUUUUCUUGCUUUGGAUUUUGCACUACUUUCUAGAUCAUUUAAAACUUGUAAUAUAUGUAGAUGGUGUACUGCUUACUGAUUGUACAGGUUUGAUAAAAGUUAUAUUAUGGUGUCUAUUGACUUGCAGAACCGGCAUGGCAAAUCAAGUGAAGCAGUCACUAAAGAUUCAGAAAAUAUCCCUCAAGAUUCUUCUACCAAGAGGUAUAUUUAGUUGCUUCUGAAAAAAAUGAAUUGAGUUUUUGUUUCUUCGAAGCUGAUUGUGAGUCCUCUUUUUUCUCACCCUUUUUAGGUCAGAGUGGAGGAAGCCUUUAAGAGCAGCUACCCCAGAUAAAGAUUCAAUAAAGAGCAACAAAAGAAAAAGAGACAACAAAUUUGAGACAGUCAAGCCUGGCCAAAAGGAACCAUUUAAAUCUACCAGUAAUGAUGGAUUACGUUUACCCAAGAGAAGUAGGCCAGAAGAAAGUAGAAAAGGCAAGAAAAGUGGGAACAAAAGUUUCGUUGGUGGUGGUGGGAAGAGAAACGUGAAGAUGUCCAGUACUCAAAAUUUUAAAGCAUCUUCCAAGUCACACAAGCUAAAAAGGAAAUUCCAAAGAAAUUAGAAAUGAGUCGAAUACUGAAGCUGGUGAAACACUUCUUAGAUGUCAUAUCUCCCUGACUGUGUAGGGUUGACAGUGCCAUUUUAUAUAAGUAACUGCAUAUAUAGCUUGGGAGAUGAAAAGUGAAGGAUACAAGAUUUCUUCUUUCCUGUUGAACAACCGCUAUAGAGGGGAAGUUGUCACUUUAUUCGGAUGACAUGCUGGAAUCUACUGAUUGAGAAAAUGAAGUUCUGCUUACUACAUGCAUUUUUGUUGCUGGAGAAGUUAAGUUUUUGGUGAGGGAAGCUGCCGUAAUGAAUGUAUGGUCGUGGUUGAUUAUGUAAAUGGCUACGUGUUGCCAUCUUUUGCCCUCGGCAGGAUUUUUCCCAAGCUAGUUCUACUAGAUAUUGUAUGUCUUAACGAAGGAUACCUUGACCUAUUUUCCGUUACUCAGUUACUGGAUGGCAAAAGCACUAAGAUGAUAUAUAUAUAUAUAUAUAUAUAUAUAUAUAUAUAUAUAUAUAUAUAUAUAUAUAUAUAUAUAUAUAUAUAUNNNNNNNNNNNNNNNNNNNNNNNNNNNNNNNNNNNNNNNNNNNNNNNNNNNNNNNNNNNNNNNNNNNNNNNNNNNNNNNNNNNNNNNNNNNNNNNNNNNNNNNNNNNNNNNNNNNNNNNNNNNNNNNNNNNNNNNNNNNNNNNNNNNNNNNNNNNNNNNNNNNNNNNNNNNNNNNNNNNNNNNNNNNNNNNNNNNNNNNNNNNNNNNNNNNNNNNNNNNNNNNNNNNNNNNNNNNNNNNNNNNNNNNNNNNNNNNNNNNNNNNNNNAUAUAUAUAUAUAUAUAUAUAUAUAUAUAUAUAUAUAUAUAUAUAUAUAUAUAUAUAUUUGAUAAAGAUAGGCAUUAUUUUUUGGAAUACUUUCUAAAAUAAAUAAAACUGACAGACAAACGGUGAUACCAAACCAUAAAGAAGACGAAAGCAAUGUACUGCACUAAAGUUGAAGAUUAGAAACAGACAUUGGGUGGAAAAUUGGGUCAUUCUGCAGUGCAUCUUCCAGUUCUGGCCACAAAAUGGCAGAUACGGUCCAUGAACCAUCACCCUUGGCACUUAACCUUUGGUUCAUGUAACCAACUCCUACCCUUGGAAUGCUAGUGUAAACUGUCCCUAGCAAGGGCCUCCCAAAUCCAAACUCAACCUCACUAACAGGAAACCUUUGUCCUGAGGACACCACUAUGGUUGGUACUUGUUCACCCAACACUGCCUUUGCUAGCAUCAAACCAGGCCUAUGACACUCAAUCCAAUCAAUCAAGUCCAAAAAAUGAUCCUCAUUGUUCACCUUUGAAAUUGCCUCAUGCACUGUGUUAGCAAUGUCUGAUAUUGACCCUUCUUUCAAUUCUUCAAUACUUGCCUCCCCAAAUGCCACAGACAACACAUUACCAAUGUAAUUUGACAUCAAAUUCUCACCUUUUCCGAUCCUUUCUCUUCCAUCCACCAGCCAACCCAUCCUGCACUUUUCAUGCCUUUGAUCAAUGCUACCAAUCAUUAUCUUCCAUACAUACGCGGAGAAAGCCUCGAUCUUUGUUUUCUUGACUCCAUUCCCAGAAGCAAGUUUCUGCAGCAUGUUGAUGCUUGAUGCUUUGAUAUGAUAAAGGCGCUUCAGUGAGAUAUGGUUCAUUGGCAUGUUCUGUAUCUCUUCCAUGGUACACCUCACAAAAUUUUGAUCCAAGGAUGGUUGAUAAGUGGGAGAAGAACGUGCACGAAGGUGUCUAGUAUGGUCUGGUAUGCACGAGAGUGGUUUCUUUUGAGCCAUUUCACACCAGGAAGCAAUGAACUUACCAAAGGAAGUGGCAUCACCUAAUGCAUGAUCAAAAGUAAAGGCUAUAGACAUACCUCCACAUGAAUAUUCAGUCACCUGAAUUUGCGUCGGGAAAUCUGGUUCAACUGAGACUACCUUAUCUUGAAGAGUUUUAUUGAGAUCAUAAAAAUCUACACUCUUUAAUGGGGUAUCUGUGUGUGCUUCAAUGAUUAGAGCACCAUUGUUGUCACAUAUGAUCUCAGGCUCACUGGUUUUAGGAUUUUGAACAAUUUGGCCAGCAAAGGGAUAAUAGUGAUCAAGUAUUUGUGCCAGAGAGCUUUUAAGAGCAUCAACAAAAACCUUGAAGUUAUCUGAUUCUGGUUUGCGGUAGAAAUACAAGUAUGUAACAGGAAAACGACCUGAAAGCAGGUCAAGAUUUGAGAGAGUGAUUGAAAAUGGUUCUUGUGGAGGAUUCAGUGCUUUCACAACACUUUUCCUACUCACCUUAACUACAAAAUUUUCUGGGGCAGCAAUCUUUUUGAGAAUGUCUGACAUUUUCAGAGGAGGAUAGUGUUUCUCUUUGGUCAGAUACUAAGGUUCAAAAUUCAUACUUUGAAAUAAUGAAACUUGGUAUAUAUCAGUUAUAUAGUAUAUUUACAGUGAAAGUUGGUGGAUAUUGACAUCAAUGCUUCAGUGCUUUCUCAUCACACAUUAUUGAAUGGAAGUGAUAAGUUGGCCAUGAUACCAUUCCCAUGUCUCAUGAUUAAGGUCUUGUUCACUUUAGUACAUUUGAGGAAGAGUAAUUGAGUGGAUUGAAGAGGAUUUAAAAAUAAUUUUUUUUAUUAUUUAUUUGAGUGAAUUUAGAGAUAAACGAGAGUGGAUUUGGAAUGAAAUUUUUUUUAAUCUAUCACAUAAAUUAAAUUCUACAUUAAUUAUCUCAAACUUUACUUCCAAAUCCACUCUCGUUUACCUCUAAAUUUACUCAAAUAAAUAACAACAAAAAUCAUCUUCAAAUCCUCUCAAAUCCACUCUCUCAAAUUCAUUCAAGUGAACAAGUUCAAGAACUUAUAUCAUGAGUUUUGAUGCUUAUUUCCACCAAAACUCAAUCUUUGGUCAAGUUUGGCAGGCAACAUAAUUGUGGAAAGAGGUACAUUUGAAUGCAUUCUUUAGUUAAUCUUCUGACAGUUUUCUUUUUUCUGUUGUUGGACACCAGUUCAACCAUCUAUAAUUCUCUUUUGAAUUGUAACAUGUGAAAACAUUGCUUAACUACAAGAGUAAAUGCGUUUAAUGUUUAUUUUUUUAAGUUGUAUAUAAACACAAAUGUCUAUUUUUUAUCUCUUACAAAAACCUUACUGUGAGAAAACACAAUCAUUUAUAACUAUCUAUUAAAGGUGAUAUUUUUUUUUUAUAAAUAUUUGUAAUAGCUAUUUUAGUGUGUACAUUUCAAUACCAAUUUUAUCUUUAUUAAUAUAAAUAAAUUUAUUUACUCUUUUGAUUUGAUUUUUUUUUAAAUUCAAUAACUACUCGUAAAAAUCUUAUAAUAGCAAUAUAAAAAUUAUUUAUUCUUACUUACUUUAUAUUUUUAUACUUUUUUAUAAAUUUAAUAAUAAAAAAUAAUCUUGUAUUUUUUAUUAUCAAAAGUAAAUAGACACGCAUAAUGCGUGUAUUUUUAUUAAUAUAAAUAAAGAGGUUAUACAAUGUUGAGUAUUGAUAGAUAUAGACAUUCAAUACUAUUUUGAAGUUCUGUUUUUAAAAUUUAAUAGUUAAUUUAAAAAAAUACACACUUAUAAUAAAAUUAUAAAAAUGAUUCAUUUUAUAGUUAUUUUUAUUUUAUAUUUUUUUAUAAAUUUAAUCAUAAAAAUUGUUUUUUAUUUGUAUUAUCAUGAGAUUUAAUCAUAAAAAUUGUUUUUUAUUUGUAUUAUUUGUAAAGAUGUAAAAAAUGACAUUUUAGAACUUAGAACGAUUUAAAAAUAAUGAGACUAAAUUAUUUUAAUAUUUAAAAAAUUAAUAUAAAUAGUUUUUUUUUUAUAAUUUCAUUAAUUUAAAACAUAUAAUUUAUCUAAAAAUAUUUUUUUAGAGUUUUCUGAUUUGUUUCUAAAAGUUCUUCUUUUUUGUUUAUUUGAUUAGAGAAUUGAGAUAAGAUUGAUCCUCGUAACAAAUCUUUCAAUUUAAACUGAUCAAUUUCUUAAUAUGAGUAGAUAAAGUUUCAAUCUUUUUGUUGGUUUAUUUCUAUUUUAUAUUUCAUAUGAGUCUUCCUCUUCCUGUGUGUGUCUUUUUAAUAUUAUAUAUAUGAGUCCUUACUUAUCAAUUAUCAUAAUGGUAUGGCUAUAAUUGUUCUUGUGAUGUUUAUGUAUGUAAAUAAAACAUUAUGUGAAGUUAAAGACAUUUUGGUGUUUUUAGAGUUGUUUGAGGUGGACCAUAAGUGAAGGAAGGUAAUUUUAGUUAUUUUAUGUUUUAAAGUUGUUUAAUUAAUAUGUAAGUGGUGUAAUGAAACUAGUAAUGUUCCGUGAAUGAUAUUGUAAAUUAAUGAAUUGAGUUCUGGUUGAUAUGUUUUGUGAUCUAUAGGAAGCAUUAUAUUGGUUUGGUAUGGUUGUAAUGGUGUGAAAUAGUAGGCUUUGGUCUUGUACAUUAUGCAGACUGACUAGGUGAGGGUUGAGUUGUUAGGCGAUGUUGAAGUCAAAGAAUUCAUUGACUUAGCAGUCGUUGAAAGCUAAUAUUAUCGUUGAACAAUUCUAAAAGUUAAAGAAUCCACUGACUUGACUGUUAGUAGAUGUUGUCAGUAGUCACUGGGCAAGUUCUGACAUAUUAAAUCCUAAGAGCUCUAAUAGUUAUAUCUUUUUGAACAACUACUAGAUUCAUUGAAUACUUAGAUUAACAGUGUGCGCUACCUUUUAAAAGUCUUUUCUAUAAUUUUGAAAUUUUUUUUAACAAUUAUUAACAAAAUCAUUAAAAACCAACCAUAUAGUUUGAUUCAGAUUUUUGAUGUAAAUUACAAAAGAACCAAAUCAAAUCAUAUUUAGUUCUAGUGAUUAUUUAAUAAAAAUAGUAACCAACGUUUCUUCUUUCCAUGCCCUUAGUUGUGUAUAGAUGAAGGGAUAGUGGAAAAGGGUGAUGUUUGUUAUCUUAUGAAAGGCUGAAAUUGAAGGUUUGUGUGGGCACGUUCUUGAUCUUAGACACCGUUAGUUUUUUUGAUGUGUUUAGGGAACCCUCAUUCAAACUACUCCAUAUAGCACCACAAACUAUAGUGCUUGUCACUUCACAACUUCAAAUCAUGGACCACAAACAUUCACAUUAAUUCUCAUCUUAUGCUUUCCACCACUUUUCCCCAACCAUUCCAAUUUCUUACAUAUAACUUUCUCUUUUCCUUUUCACCACUAUCAAUGGUUCCACCUUUUUAGGUUUACUUCAUUCCAACCUCUAAUAUAUACUUCAUCAUGAAUUAAGACUAUGAAUGUAAUAAAUUCUUAUAGGAUUAAAAUACUUGCUUGGAUUAGAGAAAACUGGGAAUAUCAAUCUGUUAGAGGAAAUAUUAUUUAGAUCUUCUAAUUGAAUCUGGUCUACUUGGAUCAAAGUCUGCCAAAACUCCACUAUUCAGUUAUAUUAAGAUGCAAGGAUGUCAUAUGAAGAUGUAGCAACAUAGAUGAUUGAUUGGAUAAUUACUUUACUUGAACACCACAUUUGCAACUCAGUAACUUAGUCAAUUUCUACAUAAGCCAACUUCGAUACACUACCAAGCUACUUGCAAAAUAGUGAGAUAUCUUAAAAGCAACCCAGGUAGAUACUUCUUCUUUCCAAGACAAUAAGAAAUUCAUUCCAUGAUAUCUUCACUCUAGAAAAUCCAUUCCAUGAUAUCACUUAUUUUUUACUUCAUCAUUGAUUACCAAAAUGUUGAAAGAGGAAAUACAAUUACUAAAAAUUUGUAAAAUUGAGUUUUCAUAUGAAUCAUUAAAAAUAUCUAUGAAAUUCUUCCUUUCGUUUUUUCCUUCUAAAUGUUUACAAAUCAUAUAUAAGAAUUGAAGAAGAGAUAGAGAAUGUGUUGUGGAAAAAAUUUCCUUCCAGAAAACUCAUUUUGGAAUGUAUAUCAUGUGUUUCAGAAAAUAAGAAAUAUUAUACAUGUGUCUAUAUUAUAAGUAUAUAGUUUGAAAAGUGUCUACAAGUUUCAUAUUUAAUAAGCAUUGUAUCCGAUAUUUAUUCUUAUUAAAUCAUUUUUAUCUAAUACUUAUUAUUACAUUAGUUUUUCAAAAGUUUAAAAAAUAACUACAUGUUACACAUAAACUAUCUACCAUCCCAUAAAUUUGGGUAGUAUAACUAUUUCUCAUUUCAAAGUUCAACUUCCUCUAUUCUCAUCAAAUUUCUUUGACAUUAUCAAUUGUCCACUAAAAAUCAUAUUAUGUGUUGUAUGUAGCACACUUUUUUAUGAGUUGAUUUUAUAAUUUAUAAAUCUCCUCCUUUAUAAAAAAAAAAAUCUCAACAAAAAUAUUCGUGAAUUUUAGAUUUAUUUACAUGUUCAUGAAAUUUGAAGUUUAGGACAAACUAAAAACUUCAUCGUAACUUUUUGUAGCAAGAUAAAGUUUAGGAAGUGCAUAUACAUAAAGUUUGUCACAGAUAAACUUAUAUGUGUUACUAUUUUAUCAUAUUAUAGGUAUGUGGUUUUUCUUUUAUAAUUAACUUAUUUGAUCUAUAAUUAAUUAUGGUUAAAGUCUCACUAUAGAUAAGACCAAUUUAAAGUAUAUACAUAAAUGUAAAUUUUAUCUUACAAAUUUAUUUUCUGAGAUUGAGUUUGUUGAAAGUCCUACGUUAACUAGAGAUAAAACCAAUUUAUAAUAUAUAAGUGAGGUACAAAUAUCACCUUACAAACCAGUUUUGUGAGGUUGAGUUAGAUUUUAAUAUUUUUUGUUUUUUACGCAUUUCUAUUCCACAAAUGAAGUACAAACUUCACCUUAAACCCACUUUCUAAUUAAAAAUCCAUUUAUUAACAUAUGUAUAUACUUUUAUGUAAAAUAUAUAUACAAAUACAAAUCUAUUUUACAAAUUGAUUUUAUUAUGGAGUUGAGUUAAAUUUAUAAUUCAGGUUUUAACAAAUCAUAAAUAUGAUCAUAAAUAUAUAUAUAAUGACAGGAAAUAUAAAAAUGAUUUUGCUUUGACUUAUAUCAGCUAUUUGUUGUUGUUUUGGACCUAUGAUUCUUCUUGGACUUGUUCGAAUCUGAGUCGUUCUGGCUUUGCAGAUGAAUAUUUGGUGACCAAAUCGAGCAAGUCCCUGCACUUGGUCUUGAUGGUUGUAAGCUCUGACUGCAACACCUUAUUCUCCUUCUUCAGUCGCUUGUUUUCAUCCAUCAGAACUGCAUAAUUUGAAGAAAACCUUGAUGCUAAGGACCUUUCAUUUUGCUUCUUCCUUACCCAUGACUUCUUACGUCUCAUCUCGCAUAACAGUUCUUUCUCUCCCUUUCUGAAUCGCUCGUUGCAAAACUCCCAUCUGCUUCUUCUAACUUUACGAAAACCCUAAAUAUAUCCAUCAUUAUUGCUGCAUGUCUUUUUCGACCUUACAUCUAAACUUAUUAUCUCUAAAGCAUCAUAUAAUAUGAUAAGUAUAUCAUUUUGAUUAUACUAUGAAGGUUAGCUGUAAAAUGAAUUAUCUAUUAGUACAAUGUAUCAUAUUGUUAAUACCUAAUACAUACAAUACCUAACUAUUUAGUUUAUUGAAUAAAUAUCAUCUAAAGAAAGAGAUAUAAUAUUUUUAUGACAAAAUAUUUAAUAUUAUAUAAUAAUUAGUUUUUUUUUUUUUUUUUUUAUCUAAGAAGGUGGAGAUAUAAUGUAAGGAGAUAUAAUAUAAUGUCAAAUCUUUUGAUUAUGUCAUUUUUGGUAAUAUAAAUCUAGAGGCCACCUACCAUAACUCAAGUGGUUGGUAUAAGUAACUAAGUAAGGUGUUCAUUAAUAAAGGUCAUCAAUUCUAGCUGCCUAAUUUCUUUGAAAAUACACCAAAACAAUAGUCCCUACAACUUGAAAUUAUAUUUUAUUUGUCAAGUACAAUUGUAAAGAACAAAUCUAUUAGGUCACUAGAUUAUAGUUUUAAAUGGUUUUGAUCUCACCAUUUAAAAAAAACAUAAAAAAAAAUUAUAGACCAAUAUUAGCUAGUUAGACGUUUAGUUGCAUAUGAAGAUUGAUAAGACAUAUUCAAUCAAUAUAAUCAAGUUUGAAUGUUUUCUGUAUGGAUAUGAGACAUCAACAUUAAUUGAGAGUGUUUCAUUUUAAUAGUUACGUUAUAUUAAUAUCUUCUAUUUCUAAAUUAAUGCUGGUUUAAAUAAAAGAAUUUAAUUUUGAUACAUUUAAAUAUAAAGAGUUUGUUGAUUUCUUAUAAGUAAUUAUAAAUAUAACUUUUCUUUAAGAAUAUUAUCAUAUAUAAAUAUCCAUACUUGAGUGUGAAACAACUUAAAGUAGUUUUAAUUAAAUUAAAGUAAAAUAUUAAAAUUAAAUAUAUGUAAUAGAAUAGUGCAAUAAAAAUAAAAAUACUAAUAAUAUUUAAAAUUUAUAAACACCUAGUUAAAAUAAUAUUUAGUUUAGCCAAAAGGACUACUUAGACUAGUAUUAUAUAAAGAAUUUUUUCAGUGGUCCUUUUGAUCCAACAAUAUUUUAAUGAAGACACUAAACUUAAUACUAAUUAGGUCAAACAAAUGCAGUUAAUAUGUUUCUAUCAUCAAGAACUCAUGGAAACAAAUAAAAUUAUCUUUAUUUCUAUAUUCGCUAAAAGCUUCUACAGUGGUCAACUUAUUCACCAACCAUCGAUAGCUACGUUCCUUUCGCUUUUAUUCAACUCAUUCUUCUCUUAUUUCUAAAUUUUUAUGUUCUUCCACUCGUGUUCUUUUAAACUCUUGUAAUAACUAAAUAAUGCUAUAAAUUUACUUAAAUUUUGUUAAUAUAAUACAUUAUUAGUAACACAUUUUAUGAUUGAUUCAACUCAUUUUAAACUCUCACUAAUACACAUUUUAUGAUUGAUUCAAAUAUAUUAUAAGCUACUAAGAUUGUUAAUGAUUAGUAAGAGUUACUAAAAUUUAUAAAAUUCAACCAAAAUUGUUAAAAAUUGGAUUUUAAGACUAAUCCAACCCUACAAAAUCAACUUGUAAAGUGAGGUUUCCAUCUAUUUAUAUAUUAUCAAUUUUUAAGCAUGAGAUUAGACAUUAAUGGAUGGUCCGAUAGCGGGUGGAACAACAUAUCCAACAAAAAACAAAUAUCUCUAAGAUAGAUUCUAAUCAUAGCUCUGAUACCAUGUUAAAAAGUGAAUUUUAAUGUUAAGAAGUGAACUUUAAACCCAACCCAACUCUACAAAACUGGUUUGUAAAGUAAGAUUUAUACUCACUUACUUAUAUAUAUAUAUAUAGGUUUAAACCUCUUUUUGGUCCCUAAGUUAUGAGCGGAUGUUCAGUUUAGUCCCCGCUUUUAAAAAUGUAAGCCUUUGGUUCCUAAGUUAUAAAAAAUGUAUCAAAUGAGUCCUUUUUUGAUGUUCAUGAUCAAAGUACAAAGAGAAAUCUAAAGUGUUGUUAUUAUUAAGAAACAAAUAAGAGCAAUCUAAAGAUGUAGCAGUUGUUAAGAAACAACCAAAAACAGUAUUUCAAGUCAAAAAAGGACUCAUUUGAUACAUUUUUUAUAACUUAGGGACCAAAGAUUUACAUUUUUAAAAACGAAGACUAAACUGAACAUCCGCUUAUAAAAAGAGGUUUAAAUCAUAUAUAUAUAUAUAUAUAUAUAUAUAUAUAUAUAUAUAUAUAUAUAUAUAUAUAUAUAUAUAUAUAUAUAUAUAUAUAUAACAUCUGUAAUUUCAGCCAUUGGAAAAAAAAAUACAGUAGUUAAGUAAUAUUUAGAGUUUAAUGUUUCGGAUUGAUUCAUGCUCUAAACUUUUAAUACAGUAUUUUUUUUUCGAGAAAGUGAUUAUAUUAUUUAAUAUAUUGUUGUCAUUAAGAUGUGUGAAAGAAUGUUAAACUGGAAUGAUUCAGUAUUAACAUAGCAAGUGUAAGUGCAUGUUGUUGGUAAUAUUUGUGAUACGGAUAUUAAGAUACGUACAUAAGUAUUGAGCUGGCGAACAAAGCUAGAGAAGUUGCAAUGGUUGAAGAGAGUCGGAAGAAGAUCACGAGCAAACUCUGCAGGUUGCAACACCACAAACGUUGUUCCGUCAUCAUUCCACGACACAACAUCAUUGGUCGUAGGAUCCUCAACCAACAUAUAUGUCUUCAACAAAAACGGUGCUGUUGAGAAUUUUCUGACACACUCCAACAACCCUUUCUCAGUUUCUUCCUCCAUUUUUGAGAAUGAUUGAGAAGAGAUUGAAGAGUUUGUGAUCAGAAGAGAAGAAGGGCAGUUAUGAACUCCCAAUCCCAGCAGUAGAAACCCAACACGACUCCACAGUUCAUGAGAAAUGCAAGACCUUCUUCCUUCUUCUUCUUUCUCUCUCUCUCUGCAUCAACAAAAUGGUUGAAACGUGUUCACCACAUGUAUUACUACUAUAUACAACUCUUUCUCAACAAAAAUUCUUAUUAAUAUUAUGAUGUUAUUUAAGUAUAUGAUAGGUUGAGAUAGUAGUUGGACAUUCUUCACUGGGAAGAUGACCUAUUUAGUAGAAAAUAAUUUUAUUUAUAAAAAAUUAUUAAUUAGCUUAGCAGAAAUAUCUUAAUAAUUGACAUCAUAAAAGUAAAAAAGAAAAAAAUUAGGAUUAAUUAUAAUAGAUAUUUAAGAUAUAUAUUAAUAUGUUUUCUAUGAAUUUUAUUGGUAAGUUGAGGUGAUAAAAGAUAAGAGAGAAUGAUUAUGACAUUCAGUUUGAGAAAUGAUAUCUCACAUUCAAGAUAAAAAGGUGAGAAAUAAGUCAUACGGACAUAUAUUAUGAACUACAUCCUAUUAUAUAAUGAAUUAGGUAUGAUCAUCUUAAUUCCAUUUCUUAAUAAGUAAUCUUUAUAGGAUUAAUUAAGCAAAAGUCACUAAUAUUACAUUUAAUUCUUAUUACAUAAAUAUUUUCUAUAUUUAAUUAAAAGAUAUAUAAAGAAAACUCAAAAGAUUAAUCAAAAUAAUGAUAAAAAUUACAAAGAAAACUCAAAAAACCCUUUAAGAUUAUGUCGAUCGUUAUUCUUUUUCACUUCCCAAAUGUCCUGAUUACACUCUUCUUCUAAAAGAAACAUAAUAUCAUGAUUAAAGAUCAUCUUUUAUUAGUUUUCCAAUUCAGAAUUUGUGCAUACAACGUUAAUUAAUUCACACCAAAUAAUAGGUUGCUGGAACUUCUCACUAAAAGCUCUUUUUCAAAUGAUUAAAUGAACAAAAGAGUAAUAUCUACACAAAAAACACCAUUUCUAUCAUUAUGUUUUUCCUCUUUUUUGCUCGUCACUUUUUUUGUGUGUGUUUAUUUAUCUAUUUUUUUAUAUUUUUUUCUUUAAUUUCUUUUUCUCUUAACUACUUAUCUUUAAUUUAUUUUUCUCUCAACACAUUUUCUUCCAUUUCUUUUUUUUUUCUCAACUCCUUCUCUUCCAUGUUUCUUUCUCUCAACUUCUUUUCUUUGAGUUCUUUCUUUCUUAACUCAUUUUCUUUAAAUUCUUUCUUUCUCAAAUUCUAUUUUUUAAUUUCUUUCUCUUUCAACUCUUUUCUUUUUUUAAUUUAAUUGACUUCACUAAUGUUCUUUUCUAUGUUUUUCUUUUUCUCCAUCUCUCUUUUUCAUCAUAAUUUAAACAUGUCUUUUUCAAUAUUAAUCAAACAUUUUCUCUUUAUCUUAUAACUUUGCUCUUUGUUUUAUUUCCUUUUUUUCUCUCCUCAAAAUCCUCAUUCAAAUUUCUCUAAAUUUGUAAAACAAACUCAUCAACAAACAAUUUGUGAUAGACAAUAAAUUUUGGGGUAAUUUUAGCACCAAUGUAGUCUAAAAAUACAAAUAAAAAAAUUCAAGUAUAUAAAAGAAAUCAUAGGUUAUAUAUAUUUUUGGUUCUUUAAUUUGUAGUGAAAAUUAUGAAAAUUAGAAUUAGUUCCUCUUUAAAACUUUGACCCAAUUUAGUUCUCCAACUUUAGUAAUGUACGGAUGACGUCAUUUUAACAAAAUUUGAUGAAGUUUAUUUAAUGUUUCAAAUGUAUUUUAUGAUCACAUUUGAGUUGUUUACACCAUAUGACACAUUUUCGCUUCAGUGUUAGUUGAGAAACACAUUUGAAAUGUCAAAAGGACUGAAUCUAUACAUUUCUAAAGUUGGAGGAUUAAAUUGGGUCAAAGUUUUGAAGAGAAAUUAAUUUCAAUUUUUAUUGAAAGUUAAGAGACAAAAAACAUAUUUAACUAAAAAAUCAUUGAAUAUCAAGAGUCGAAACUCUGAUACCAAUACCAACUUGUGUGAAAUCAAGAAAACUAUUCUGAUAUUGAAUUUGGUGAAGAAUAUUGACGUCACAUCCAAAUGUGAGUGAUAGGUCAUGAGAUUGAUCAUUAUAUGUUAACUAAUAAGAUCAAAAUUAGGUUCUUAUACUCAUAACUCCAAAAAAUUCUGAAACAAAGAAAAAUCUUAUUUUUUUGUCAAAUUCAUAUUUAUAGAUCAUUAUAUUUCAUGCUUUGGAUGAAUUUAGGAAGACCUUAAUUCCACACUUAUUCUUAACAAGUAUUCUUUAAUACUCAUUAAUAUUUUACUCAAUUCCUAUUUUAUAAGUAAUUAUUUUCUAUAUUUAAUUAAAAAAUAAAAAUUACAAAAACUUAAAAGACUCUUAAAAUCAUGUCAUAAGGAAGAAAUAUAAAAAUAUUUUUUAUCUCGACUUUUAAGAUAUAUGAUGUAAAGGCUUGGAAAUUUAUUAAAGCCAUUGGACCUUAUAAUUGGGGUAGCCAAGCCCAUCAGCUAAGGGUGUCUUAUCCUUAGAGAGAAGUUUUUUUUUUUUUUUUUUCAGAAAUCUGAUUUCAUUAAGUUGAAACCCUUUCUCUCUCUAAAACCAUUUGCCCUAAAAUUCUCUCUAACUUCUCUCUAAAAUUUCAGAACUUUGAACCGUUCAAAUCUUGAUUGGGUGCUGCCAAAUUGUUCCUGGCCUAGAGAGCUUCGAUUCAAACCGAACAAUUCUUCGUUCCAGCGGGUAAGUCAUUUUCCCCUUUUCUCUUCACUGUUCUUGACUUAGGGCAUGAACUUUACUAGUUGCAUGUGCUCUGCAUGUUCUACCUUCCAUUCUCAGUUUAUUCUAGCUCUAAGAGUCGUGUUCCAUCAUCAAUUUGGUGAUUUGUAGGUUCUGUAAGCUCAACGCGGUGUGAGUACGGUCUUAGGGCACUCUCAACAAGUGGUACUGUUAAGCUUUCCAGGUAAGGGGAGCUAGUUAUAUUUUUGUAUGAAUUUAUUUUAUAAAAAUAUAUGCAUGUGAAUGUUGAACUGGUGUGCUCUUGUGAAACUGUUUUAUGACUUUUAUUGUAUUGAGUGUUAUAACUGAAAUUGUGAAAUUGUGCAUGUUUUGAUGUGAUGAAUUUAAUCUGUUUUGAAUGAGUUUAAUCUCUAGAAAUUAACAUGCUAGGAUAUAUUCCUUAAUUUGUUCUGAUUUGAGAUUAACUCUUGUAUAUGCUAUGUUUGACACGAUGCAUGCUUUUUUUUUAUAUAAUUAGCUCACUCUUGCACUACUCGUGUUUGUACCAUGUUUGCGUAUGUCUUUCUUUUGCAAUGAUCAUCCACUUGGAUGUGAGUAGAGGAGAAUGAGGUUUCACUGGAGCAUGUCUUGGAAGGAAAUAAAGAUGUUGCUACCUAGAUUCUCUAGAACUCUCUUAGUUCUUUUACCCUCUUUUGAAAUACUUUCCACUUAAGUUAUUUCGAGAUACUCUUUAGCACUUUAAGUUUUAAAUUUUCAGCUAUUUCAAGGAUGAUUGUACUCCUAAUGUUUCAAGUACAUCUCUAACUGUUUUCUUUUAUUAUAAUGGAUGAUGUCUAGCUUAUAUAUGCAUGUCGUAUAUUAUUAGGAUGUCACAUAUGAGAUUUCUAAAUGAACUAAAUUUAUUAAUAAUAAGUGAGUUUAUAUCUAACUUAAUUUCUAUAAAUAAGUUUAUAAGGUGAAUAUUGUAUUUCACUCAUGUUAUAAUUUGAUUAACUUUAUUUCUAGUAAUAAUGAGAUCUCUAAUACAUUCCUUUGCUUUAAGGCAUGAAUAUAUCAUAGUGACAUUAUGUAUUUGUGAAUGAUCUAUUAGGAGUUUAAUAAUGAUAGUAUAAUAACAAAAAGACUUAAUUAAAAUAGACUCUUAAUAGUUCUAAUGUAACCUUAGUAAAUGAGUUUAUGCUAACUCAAUUUCAUAACAUUUGUUUGUAAAACGAGGAUUGCGUAUUAUAAUUUAGGUUUAUUGUAAUUGUUAACAUAAAUAAAUAUUAGUAAAUCAUUUAACUCUUUUCAUGAUAAAGAGUUAAAUGAUGUAAAAUUAUUUUUUGUACAAUAGUAUGAUAAUAAUUAAAAAGUUUACUAUUUAUCAAUCAAAAGAUAACAAUAUUUUGAUUAAAUUUACAUUUUAUCAUUUAGUUAUCAUUCAUUUAUUAAUUUUAUCAUUCAAUUCGUUCGUGUUUUAACAUUAUUUUUAAAUUUCACAUGUUUUAUCGGUUUUCUAUAUCCUCUUUUUGGUUAAAAAUAAAAGGUUUUAAUUACAAAAUAUGUGAAAAAAAAAUCAAUAAUGAAAUUUAUAAAAUAAUACUAAUUAAAUGAUAAAAUAUUUCCUCAUCCAAAUAUGCACAUAAAGUAGCACAGAAAUAAUAGUCACAAUCGUUUCACGAUACUUUGUUGUUAGCCAAUAUGUUGCAUAAGUCAAUAAUUAAUUUAAGUCCAUAAGGUGGUGAAGUUAACUUGACUAUAAUUUGAUUGCAACAUCAUAAUCAAAAUAAAGAAAACCUAAUUAUGUAAGAUAUCAAAUUGUUUGAACAUUAGUGAAUUCAAAAUUAAUUAGAAGAGAUGCUGAGAGGGGUUGGUGGGGUUCCUAUCCUCAAAUUUAUUCUCUAUAUAUAUAUAGUACUUUAUUAGUAUUUAAUUUCUUAUAUGAGAACAAUGCAUUAUACUUGUGGAAAUAGUAAAAAGACCUAAUUAUAGUUGCCUUCAACUAAAAAAAUAUAAUUAUAAUUUUAAUCUAAAAAAAUUGGGAUGAAUACAAUCUCCAACUUAAAAAAUAUCAUUUUAAUAUAUCUCAUUUACCGUUUAAAAACUAAAAGGGUUUUUGAAAAUAAAUAUUUUUUAUCCAAUAUUUAAAAAUUAAAAACAUAUUUUGUUACUUUGAGGAUUUUAAUUUUGAAAAUUUAAAAUAUAAAAAAUGGGUUAAUCUGAAAGAAAAAACUAAUUAAUUAAGCCUUAUUAUCAGACAAAAAAAGUUAGUUAAUAAAACAGAUAGAUAUUUGAAUGAAAAUAAUGCUAGUUUAAGUGGUUAUAGGUGGGAUGAAGUUUUCUGUAUAUCUUUAUUUCAAUAUCUUACCAACAACUCCAUCCAAUGUAGUUGAUUUUUAUUUUUUGAAGCACUAUGGUCUAAAAAAAGCUUUCACAUUUUCUACGGAGGAAGUGACUUUUAUAUGAAAGUAUUCUUUCUUUCAAACCAAAGUGUUGAAUAUAAUCAAUUAUGACUAAGAAAAAAAAAACUUUUUACAGUAACUAUUUAUUAUAGUUAUAAUUCCUCAUAUAAAAAAUGACACAAUAAUAUAGAAUCAUAAAUAUGAUAAUAUUAUUUAUAAUGUUUGUAGUUAUAAUAAAUAUAGAAAAUAAACCCAUGAGAGUCAUUAUACACAAAUAAAAAAAUAGAAUCCAAAAAGAAAUUAGAAAGAGAGAGAAAGAAUAAGAUGAAUUGAUUACAUUUUUAUUGACAAAUUUCUUAAAAAUUUGUCGAAAAAUAGUUAAUACUGACCAAAUUUUUACUUUUUCGAAAGAUUUUGAUAAUUUGUAAUACCUAUUUUUUUAUGUUGUGUUUGUAUUUUUUAUCCUCUUUUUGUCUUUUCUUAUGUUUAUCUCAAAUAUGAAGGUUUCUUCUCUCUUUUCCUUUGUCUCUCUCAUUCACCCCUCUCUACCAUCCAAGUCAUCAUCCACCUUCAACACUCACAUGUCUAUCACUAAAAACAAUUCCAAAUCCAAAACACCCAAGCUUCCAUAACUUCCUAAGAAGAAAAUAUUCACUCUCCACUUCCUCGCAAUACUCUAACAACCCUAAAUCCCCUAAAUUGCCUUCUUCACUUAUUGCCUUAUGUCUUUGUCGUUUCUCUUUUUCGCCUUGACAUUUGACAACACAUCAUUCACCCACCAUCAUCACUUGUCUCUAACAUCAAAACCCUCGACUAUGUUCAUUUGUCUCUACACUAGGCAUUGUGUCCUUCGACGUCCACUACUAACCCUUGUCAAAAUAAGAUUUUGUCAAUAAGAACCAUCGUGAGUCAGCUACCUGUCAUUCCUCCUCCACACUUAUUGUUGGGAGCACGUCUUGGGCCUUCUUUGCUCACGCGUCAACACCAUCACCCUUCAACAAGAAACAUGUCCAUCUACUCUCUCCCUUUCUCUAUUUCAUUUUUCAUUUUUGUUAGACUGUUAACGAAUUUGCCAAAACAUAUUUUGUUUUUGUUCUUCACCUAUUUGGGAAUUUAUGUUUUGAUUGUUAGUAUUUAUUGCUAUGUGCAAUGAGAGAAUAUGAAGAUAUUUGAUUUACUUGGUAGAAGCGAUUUUGAUGAAGUUUGACGAAGUGUUGAUAUUUUUGGUGGAUGACUGAAUGAAGCUUUGAAUCUUGAAGUUUUAAAAUAUUAUUUAGUUUGAUUUUAUGAUUUGAUUAAUGUAACAUAAAUUUUAAUGUUAUUGUUUGAAAUACCUUUUUAUAUUGAAUGUACAUUUAGAAUUGAUAUAGAAAGUAUCUUGUUUCUAUACCAGUUUUAAAUCUAGUAUAAAAAAACUUUUUUAAUCGGUAUGAAAAAUAUUUUUCUUAACCCACUUUUUUUUUUUAAAAUACUUUUAUAAAUAAUUUAAAAAAAUUACACAUUUUUUCCUUAACCAGUUUCAUUCAUUUCUCUUUUCUAUUUCCUAUUUAUAUUCUCACUUUUCAUCUUUCAAUUUUAAACAAUUAACGGUAAUUCAUGAUACAUACAACAAUUUUAAUAUUGCUUUAUCAUUCAUUUGGGAAGCCUAUUAAUUUCCUAACAUAACAUUUUCAUUCACAAUAAAGGCUUGUACUUUCUAUUACUAUGGAUUUGUCGAACAAAUUCAAAUCAACAUUUAUUCUAAACCUUCUUUAAUGAAUGACAAGAGGAAAUUGUUGGUAUUUUUAAAGGAAAAUAUAUGAAUAUUUAAUAACAAUAAUAAUGAGUCAUAAAGAAAAAAUUAUAUAAGAGAUUACAAUAUUGUAUUUAUUCCACAACCUUACAAUAAUGGUAUAAUGGUAUGUAGAUUUUUUUUUUCCAUUUUGUUCAAGAACAAAAACUAACCAUUAAAUUCUUAAAAUAUAUAUUUAAGUGUGUUUUUCAAGAAUUUUGGUUCAUACUUGCUCAAUUUAAUUUUUAGUGAAUCAAAUCAAUUUGAAGUGGAUUUUUUUUAAAUAAGAUUAGUAAAAAAAUUCUUUUCAAUCUAACUUAGAGUAUUUCAAUUCAAGAUUCCACAAUUAACAAAAAAAAAAAUUAUGUGCAAAUCAUUUAUACUCUGCAUCAAUUUAAUAAAUAUAUUUAAUUCACUAAAUUGUGAAUAUCAAUUAGAAAAUCAUAUAUAUAUAUAUAUAUAUAUAUAUAUAUAUAUAUAUAUAUAUAUAUAUAUAUAUUUUUUUUUUUUUUUUCGGUUACAGUGUUUUUGUAUUUUUAUAUGGAGAUAGAAUGGUGAGAAUAUAAGAAGAUGAAGAUAGAUUGAAGUGAAAGUGUUUCAGAAACUAAAAACCUAAAGUAUAAGAAAUAAAAAUGCUGAAACUUAUAUUAUUAAUGAUAAAAUAAGAACUUGUAAAAGAAAUAUACGAGAAUGAUGACCCAAAUGACGACAAACAUCAUCAUUGGAUUACUCAUUUUCUAUUCAAACCGUCCUCAAAAUAUGUGUUGUCAAUACAAUUUGUCACCACCUUUUUUAACAUAAACAACCUAUUUUUUAUUUUUUCCAACAUUUUUUAGCAAUUAAGCGAAAAUAAAAUAAAAUAAAAAUUACAUAAUUUGAAAUAAUUGUCUAAAAAUUGUCUAUAUUGUGUCAAUUAUACAUACUAAGCUCAUGUUUUUUUAGCAAUUAUCAUAUCUUUCAACUUCGCUUUAAUCUUGGAUAAUCGAUCUUUCGAUUUUGUCUAACGAACACCAAUGUUGAUGCAUUUUUUGAGUUCUCAAUAAUUCUUUGAUUUUUAUUUCUAUGUUGGCUUUAUUUUUAUUCCCUUGUUCAGUUCCUUGUGUAACUAAGAAGUGUCUAGUAUACCUUGAAAUUCAUAUCAAAUUUGACACUUAUCAUGUACUAAAUGAUUGUAUUUAUAGAAAAAUCAAUCAUAUUAGUUUAUAAUUACAAAAUGCAGUACUAAGAAGUAGAAAAAUAGAAAAUUGAUGACUAUUUUAUGAUUUGUAGCAAUUUCUUAAAGAAUUAAAAGAUGAUGCAACUGAGCUCUAAAAUUUGCUAAUGAGUGCUGGUAAGGUAGUCGAGGAAAGAUCUAUAAUGCUACUUUUGCAGUCGAGCCACAAGAAAAUAAUGUUGAGCCAUAAAAAAAUGGCCAUGAGCAAUUAAGAUAAUUAAUUAAAGGCAAUGCACGACUGAGCCACAAGAAAGUGACGCUCAACACUUAAGAUGACAAAAGAAGAAAAUUUUCCAUAGAAAAAAACCUAUGUGACUGAGUGUCAAUGAAAAUUUUUAUAAAUAAAUACCUUAUGUCUUCAUUUUAGGUGAAGAAGUAAUAUAGUAGUAGUAGAGUAAAAAUAUGUAUGUCAGGCUAGAGAGAUAUGCUCUUAUUGUAAAUCUUAUGUGUAGAUGUUGCUGGAAUAGUAUUACAAUAUUCUAUAAGUAAUUAAACUCUAUCAUUUUGAGGUUAGAAGUAAUCAAUUAUAAUUUUCUAUGUCCUUAUAUUAUUUUUGUUUUUUAUGUUCUUUAUCUCUUUGUAGAAUAGUGAUAGCUGCAACCUAAUUAAUUAUGUGUAACAAAUUAUAUAUACAAAAGGAAAUUAUAUGCUUCUUUUGAUAAUUUUUAUUCAAUCUUGUAAGUUUAUUAUUUUAGAGCUACCUUUUUCUUAGAAACAUAACUUAGUCGAGAUAGAAAACUUUUAAAUACUAAUAUUUAUAAUAGGCUUAAUCAGUCGUCAGGUCUUUUUUUUUUUUUUUGCUGGGAAUAUUAAAUAGGUCCCUUAGUUUUUUUUUUUUUGUCUAAUUGGGUCCUUAUUUUUACAAAAUUGCUCCAAUUAGAACCUUGUCGUUAAAUUGGAUUAACGACUUUAGAAUCUUGUUGACGUUGCAUGCUGAUGUUAGUUUUUUAAAUGAUGUGGCAAGUUGUUAGAUAGUUAUAGUUGAGUUUGACAUGGAUUUGUGUUUUUUAAAAUUAAAAAAAUUGAGAAAAGUUAAUUGAAGGUUUAAUCAUUCGAAUAAUCCCAAUUUUCGGUAAGUUUUCUCAAAUAGGUCUUUAACUUAUUUUUUGUCUCAAUUGAGUCCUUAUUUUUGAAAAAUGAAGCAAUUAGGUCCUUAUUGUUAGUUGCAUACUAACACCGCUAAAAAGGUGUCAUGUGUCAACUUGUGGUUUUUUUUAAUUUUUUAAAUAUUUUUAAUUUUUAAUUUUUAUUUUAUUUUUAUUUUUUUAAAAUAAAAAAUUUUGACAUGUGUCAAGCUGACAUUGAACCAUGUGGCAAUGAUAGUGUGACAUGGCACUAAUAGUACCACAUGUCACUAUCAAGUCACGUGUCAUUGCAUUUAUCUCAAUUUGGUCCCUGUUUUUUUAUUUUGUAAUCACUGUAUUUUUAUUUUAUUUCAAUUUGGUCCCUGCAUUAAAUGAUUAAAAGAUUAAAAUAAAUAUAAUUUUUGGCUUGAAAGGGUUUCGAGAAAGUUGAUGCACGAAUAAUUUUAGAAGAUUUAACUAAAUGAAAUAAUGGUAUGUACGUUUUCCAAAUUCUUGUCUUUCAAUCUUUUUUUGUUAACUGGAUUUUUUAGUAUGAUGUAUUCCAAGUCUUAAUGUUUAACUCCAGAAACUUUUUAUAAAUUGUUGAGGAAGUACUAAGACUAUUUUUGUGUCGAUUACCUUCACAAAAAUAUUAAAAUGUUAAUUUUUAUAAUUUGCUCAUUUACAUUAUUUAAGUUAAAUGAUAUCAUUUGUUGUUUAAUUUUGUAGAAAUAAUUUAAAUGAGUUUCUUUAUUUUUAUUUGUCUUAAUUUAGUUUUUGUUUUGAAAAUUGUAAUGUAAUUAAGUUAUUUUCGUUAAUACUACAUAAAUAAAAGUGUGUCAUAUGUUAAUUCCUAAUUUUUUUUUCUAAUAAAAAAACUAUCAAUUUGUAUUAAAAAAAAUUGUAAAGAUUUAUAUACAAACUAAAUUUUGUUUGAAUUUGGAAAGGAACAAAAUUGUUGAAUUUAAAAAAAAAAAUAGAACUAAAUUGAGACAAAAUAAAAAUAUAGGGACCAAAUUAAGACAAAAUAAAAAUACAGGGACCAAAUUGAAAUAUAUACAAUGUGCCACGUUACACUAUCAGUGCCAUGUUAUACUGUCAUUGCCACGUGGCACAAUGUCAGUUUGACACAUGGCAAUCUUGUUUUGAAUUAAAAAAAUAAUAAAUUAAAAAAUAUAUAUUUAAAAAAUUCAAAAAAACCACAAGUUGACACGUGACAUCCUCAUUAACGGUAUUAUUAUGAAACUAAUGGUAAUGACCUAAUUACUUCAAUUUUUCAAAAAUAAAGACCCAAUUGAGACAAAAAAAAGUGAGGGACCUAAUUGAGGAAAGUCACCGAAAAUAAGGACUAUAUGAAUCAUUAAACCUUAAUUGAACUUAAUUGUUUAUGAAAAUUAUGGAUUUCCACCUUGCACCAGCCACUAUCCUCCUCCUACAACCCUUUUGCGCCACCGUUUCCACCUUGCACCAACCACCAUUAACACCGUUCAACCACCAUCUUCAUCGCCCUCAUAACCAAAACUGCAAAAACCUAGAAAAACCAGGAAGCCACUGUCAAACUUGCCUUUUCCCACCAAAAUCGUGAAACCCAAUUUAUGCUGCCAUGGAGAUCACCACAACAACCGAAAUCGAAACCACAAAUCCACCAUCCACAUUCACUUGAACCACUGAAACAAAACAACCCAAGUCGUGAAGCUCGAACCCAACCUCCGAAAACCUGAUUUGUGCAUCCUAGUUCAAUCUUUGAACACCAUUGCCGUGAAAUUGCGCCUCCUCCAUGACAAUCUGCAGAAAAAACCCUAAAUCACGAUUCGCGACAACCAUUUCUCACCACGACAGAUCCCUCAAAUCGCGUAGCCAUGGAACCCUAAGACGUGAGUUCUCCAUCGCGCAUCUUCACAACAUCAACACCAUCGUCAAUCUUCCUACAUACGUAAUCCAGAAUCAUGCAACCAUCUUCUCCAGGAAACCCUCACAUCUUCUCCUUCUACAAACAUAACCUACACAAAACGGAGAAUCCCCUUCAUCUCGCGCAUUAUACCUACAAAAAGACCUAAGCAACAGAACCAUAAAAUCCCCAAUCUCCUUCGCGAGUUGCAGGGCCGUGAGCAUUUGCACUAAUCAAUCACAAGCCAAAUCGCGUUAUCACUAUGAGUUACCUUAGGAAAACCAUAUUCGAACCACCAAGUGAAACCCAGAAACCCAAAUUGCAGCUAUACCAAGAUGUAGAAAUCACUUGCGACAACGCCUCCAUCUUCCCAACUCCCAAAGACACAAGGUCCCACACCUCACCAAAAUGAUCAAAGCCCUAAUUUCUUCGAAACCUCACGCUCAAUUUCAAACUGUAAACCCUAAUUUGCACUUUCUCUAAUUGAUUCCCAAUUCGAACAAACUCACAUUUUUUUUGCCAAUGAACCCUAAUUCAAAGAAACACUCAGUUUUCCCCGAUUUCUUUUUGCAAUUCCUAAUUCAAAGAAAGAGAAUGAGUUUAAUUAAAUUUUCCCCAAUUUCUUUAAUUAAAAAUUAUUAAUUUUCAUGUCACAAUCACCUUAUUAACAUAUAUUACCUAGGUCACGUAAUUUAAAAAUACAUCAUCAACAUGUCACGUAUAUGUUAGUCUAACUACGUUGUUCCAAUUUAGCGACAAACAUAUAAUUAUACCAAUUUUGUAAAAAUUAGGACUCAUGAGAAAAAAAAAAACUACCAAAUGAUUAAACCUUUAUAAUAAUAAAAAUGCUUGUAAAAAAAUAUUUUCUAAUAUAUGUCUAAUUUAUAUAAUUUAUGAUAGCGUAAUAUAUGCAUUUGUAUCUGUCAUGAAGAUUACAAUCAGUAAGUAAUUAAUUUUAAUGUAAUGAACAUAAGUUUUUAAAUGUGAUCCAAAAUUUAAAUAAUUAGAUAUUUAUUUAAAACAAAAAUUUCUUCACAUUUUUUCACUGGAUAAUUUAUGCAUCGAUAAUGACUCAUUACAACAUACUCAAUGUAUUCAUUUAUAUUCUUUUAAAACGUUAUAGCCUUGUGAUUACUGUUGUACGUAUUUCUUUCUGAUCUAUUUAGAGUUUAAAGAGGUUUGGUUAAACAAGGUUUUACUUAAUUAUUUAUUUGAAGAUGCAAAACGAAUACUUAGAUAACUUAAAUAUAUAUUGAGUUAAAUACAUGUAAUAAUGUUUAUAAUAAUUUCGUUAGAGCGUAAAUUUGUAUAGGUUGCCGAGGAUUGAUCCUAGUUUGGAUAAGAUGAAUUAGGAUUGAAUUAUUGGCUGUCUUUUCUAUGUCUUUUACUUACUGUCGUUUAUUAGAUGAAUUGAUAUUACUCUCUUAUCUUCUAUUUUGUAAAAUUUAGAAAAAUUAUUACAAUUUUAAAACUAAAAGAAAUGAUAAAAAAAAUACAUGGAGCUGGAAGAUUUAUUUUCUUCAUCUAAACUAUGUGUCAAAAUAAGUAUAAACUAAUCAUCUAACUUAAUUCCCUAUGUGUUUGAGAUGAUUAGACUGAAAAAAAAAUAUAGUUUUUAUAAAUCUAAAUUAAAUUAAUUUAAUUCACUUAUCAGUGGGUUAACUAGGUAAACAUUUUGAUGGAGAUGGACCAACUCGUAAUGCACAAACAAUAUAUUUUAGUAAUUUUUUUAUUGUAACUAGUGUCGUUAAAAUGGAUUGAAACUCCUAAGCCAAUUCGGCUUACUAAGGAUUUGAGCUGAGUUGGAUUGGAAAAAAAUGUGAAAAUUUUGAUGUAAGCCAAUUUUGACCUGGCUCGCUAAGAACCCGGCUCACCCGGGUUGAACCCGUGGUGAGCGUUGGCUCACCAACCCACUUAUUUUUUUUUUAUUGAAAUCAAAUUAAUUAUUCAAAUUCUAUUUUUUUAUUGAAAUCAAAUUAAUUAAUUUAAUUAUUAUUCAAAUCCUAUUUUCUUAUUGAAAUCAAAUUAAUUAUUCAAAACCCACAACCUUUACUUCCCAAUAAAGCUUUUUUGUGGUGCAUUGUGCUCUUGUCUAUCUUAAAGUCCCCUUUGCUAUAUAUUUUUAUUAACAGCUAUAUGUAGUUUCUUGGUGUCUCAUUAAACUAAAUUGGCAAAAGUUUAUAUAUGCUUGAUAGCUUAGAAUAUAUAACAAUAGAGUUCACUUGAUUCAUUUUCUUUUAUAUCAAUUGGUCCAAUUAUUACUGUUUCAAUUUGAUCGAUCAAAGUAACAUGUUAUAAAGAGGGUGAAAAAAAAAGUUAAGUGAGUCAAUAAGCUAACCCGUUUAACCCACCAACCCGUGGUGGGUCGGGUCGGGUUCAAAUUUUUUCGGCUCAUUAAUAAAUGAGUUAGGUUGGGUUGACUCACUAAGUGACCAACCCGUGUUGGAUCGGGUUGGAUCGGAGUCAGGUUACCCGUUUUGACAGCUCAUUGUUUACUAUAAUUUUAAAUAUGAAAGUUGACAUUUUUUUAUUUUUUUAAGACUAUAAUGAUGUUCAAUUAUAACUUAAAUUAAUUUAAUUUUUUCUCUAAUUACAUAAAUUAACAUUAUUUUAUCUUAAUACCUUUAUAAUACUAUUUUCUAAUUUAUGGUUAAUAUUAGUGAAAUAUAUAAACAUAUUUAUUGUAUUUGUAUUGUUGUAAGUAGGAGGGUUGAAUUAAUCUAUUUUAAUGAUAUGCAACUCACUUAAUUUACCAUCCUAAGAUAGAUAAAACUAGGUUACACAAUCUUUUGUUCAUCAAAAUGUAAAUUAAGUUAAAUUGUCUCAUUUUUAACUCAUCAAAGUUGAUUUACUUUUGACACCUCUAAUUGAAAUCAACCACUCUUAUCUUUUUUACGAGCUUAUGAAAAGUCUCAAGUUUGAAGACUUUAGUCAUCAAUAAUUUAUAAUCUAAUCUUAAUUAGGUUCAAUAAUUUAUAAUCUAAUUCAAUAAUUUAUAUUCUAAUCUUAGGUUCCAUAGCGCACGACUUUUCAAUAUUGUGAUCUAUUAUAUAUAUUUGAUCAUGAUUUAUUGAUGUUGAAUUUUCUAAUGUUUUUUUCAAAUAACUCGAGUGGUUUCAAAAUUGAUCAUUCAAUUCGGAGGGGACUGAUUUAUAAUAAUAUCAUGAAUCCAUUUGAUAUAAAAUAUAUCAAUGUGAAAUAAUCUCACUUAAUAAAAAAAUUAUCGAAUUUAAGUUUCAUAUUAAAUAAAAAAAACUUAAAUAACACAUAAAAAUAAAAUAAAAAUUAUAUAUCUAUUUUUAUUUUAAGAUUUUGGAUUAAAUUUAGUAUAUAACUUUUUAAUCUUUUAUGAAUUUUUAAUAGUUGACCGAUAUUAAUGUUACCAGUAUAUAUAAUUUUUUAAUCUUUUUUUUUUCACUAAUAACAUAUUCAACUUUUUUUCCACGAAAACUAGAAAUAAGUACCUUAUUUCAUACUUUAACUUUUCAAUUAAUCUAUUUUUUUAAAAAUAAUAAUUAAAAUGCUUAAUUUCUUAAUCACAUAAUGUAUUAGAAAAAGGAUCAUAAGAAGUAGUUUUGUUGUUAUAGUAACCAGAUGAAAGACGUGUUUUUAACUUAUUUUCUUUUGGAAUUAAAUUUAAUACAUCGGAUAGUUGAGUAAGAGUAAAAUAUCUGAAUUGGGAGGUUAAAUUAAUAAUAUUGUUAUUUAAUAUUUAUUUACUUGUUUUUACAGGAUUUACUAAUACAAAUAUCAGAAGCAGAGUUGAAAUAUCUAGUGAGAAAAAAAAAAGAUAAUAUUUAGUGUUGGAAAAUUUUCGGAGGCUAAGAACAAAAAUUCUUGUCGAUUUAAUAACAGAAGGAGCCAAAAUUUUUGCAGCGAAAGGAUUUGGUUGGAGUGCGUGUGUUGCACGCUCCAGUAACCAGAAAACAUAAGAGAAAGCGCUCCAACUGUUUUAAGUCGCUUAUGCAGUUUGUAUGGUCUCAAAGAGCCCAAUGGCUGCUACCAAGAUAGGACUCGGACUUGGUCCCGUCCCGACUCACCGAGUCACCUCCGUCGCCGCUCCUUCAUCCGCCGCAUUCUCCCCGCCGCCACAGCACCGCCUCUUUCUCCUCAACUCGCGGCGGGCCCUCAGACCCCGCUCUUUCCCCCAACCCCUUCGAGUAGCAGCCGCCGCCGCCUCCUCCUCCUCCGUCGCUGCGCCAGGUUUUUCCUCGCCGCGACUACUACUACUUUGCGUGAAUGUGGCCGUAUUCUCACGGCGGCGAAUUCAAUGCGAUUUGUCUUUAAUUUUGUUUUUUUUGUUGUUUUGCUUUUUCAAUUAAGCUUUGCUUUGGAGAUUUUCUGAGAAAACGAGGUUUUGUUGUGUUUCGAAUUGUGAGUUGGUUUUGGAGGAUUGGUGUUGAAGCAUGAGAGCGAGUAUUGAUGGUGGUGCUAGUGUGGGGGGUAAGUCUGCAUUGCUAAUGUUUUUUUGAGUGGCAGCUGUGUAGUUAGGAUUGGGGUUUAAGCUGUGACAUUUGAUUGGAAUUGAGCACAAAGGUGAGGAAAACGUGUGGUGAGAAUUGGGUGUUGGAAAAUAUGGUGGGUGGUAGGUACGGGGUUAGAUAAAUCGUAUUUCAUUCGUGAGAACAGGCAUUUGAGACGGAAGGCUGUUUUGCAAUUCUAGAGCGAACAGCUUGAAUUGUGUGGUUGUUGAAUGGGUGUCGUGUGUCGUGGUUUGUCUUUGUGAGGUUUGAUUACAGUCUCAGUUAGUCAUUUAGACUAGUCAAUAAGGGCAUCAUCAUCUUCAUCAUUAUCAUUUAGACUAGUCAAUAAGGUUUUUGUUUUAAGCUUUAACAAUUGAUAUAAGGUAAGGGAAACAGUUUCAUGACAUUCGGUGAUAGAAAAGAUGGUGGGAUGUAGCCACGGGCUUGAUAAUUUGUAUUUAAUUUUCGAGAACGAGUGUUUGAGAUGGAGGCAUCAAACACUUGGAGUUUGGAAGGUAGUUUUGGCAUUUUAUAGCGAAAAGCUUGCAUUGUGUGUGAUUGUUAAUUAUUUGUUCUGGCUUCUCUUGGUGGUGAUUGAUUAAUCUCACUUAGUCAUGUAGACUACUGAAUAAACGCAUUCUCAUCAUCAUCAUUGUUACUAAUAUUUUUGGUUAUUUCCUUGAGUCAAUUGUUGUAUGCAUUGACAAUGUCUAGGUUUACCAACCAUUAUGUAUGGAAAAUUUGUUAACUUUUACUAUAGAUGUUUUAUGGUCAUAACUUUAUUGUUUGAAAAUGUAAAAAACUUACAUUGACGAUGCAUGUUAAAACUUUGAUUAGCCCAGUUCUCUCGGCCCAAAGCUAGUGCCGACCUUUCUGGCAGUUGUUGCUUUAAUGACUGUAGAAGUUUAAUGUCUUCCCUAAUUGUAGUAACGUUGGCUUUUUACUUACCGAGAAUGUUAUUGUUGGAUUUUCCUUGAGUUUGUGCUUAUUUUAUGACAAUGUAAUUCUCUUGUAUAGUCUUUCUUUUGUUAUUGAUAGACGUGAAAAGUUGAUCGUGGCAUCCUUUUUCUUCUCACAGGAAAAGGAGUUGAGAAUGUGGUAAUUAUAGGUUCCGGCCCCGCAGGAUACACAGCAGCAAUAUAUGCAGCACGUGCCAAUUUGAAACCUGUGGUGUUUGAGGGGUACCAAGUUGGUGGUGUCCCUGGGGGACAAUUAAUGACUACAACUGAAGUGGAGAACUUUCCAGGAUUUCCUGAUGGCAUCAGUGGACCUGAUCUGAUGGACAGGUGUUAAAACUACUUUGUAAUUGAUUUUACUCACCUGGCAUUGGAAUUCUCACAUUUUCUGCUUAUCCAGGAUGCGACGGCAAGCUGAACGUUGGGGUGCAGAAUUGCAUCAGGAAGAUGUUGAAGCUAUUGAUGUGAAAAGUAGUCCUUUCACUGUCCAAAGUAGUGAACGUAAGGUGAUAUAUUCACUAGCAGCAAGCUGAUUUACAAUUUAAUGAUUGCGUAGACAUAUUGAUAUUCCCAAAGCUUCAAGGUCUUAUCUUUAUUUUUAUUGAUUUUCUUAAUCCACCUAGUGAUGCUUUUCUUGUUUGGAAUUAAAUUUAUGCAAAUUCUUGUACAUAUUUGGUAAAAGCUUUUAUUUUGAAAUUAAUAUAGGAAGUAUAUUUCCUUUGUAAUGUGGGUCCUGGCUUGAUCGUCACUCAAUUUACGGUGGAUAUGCUGAAAUUAUUGCCAUUACUUGUGACACUGAUUUACUUUUAUUCUGUCUUCUGACACCGAUAUGUAUGUUUAAUUUUAUUAUCUUUUUGGUUAUGUUUAUUGUGAAGAAAAGCAGUUGUAGUCACAUCAGGUUUUCUUGAUUGUAUCAUAAUUCAGGUUAAGAGCCAUACUGUCAUUUUUGCUACUGGAGCUACUGCAAAACGACUCAGGCUACCUCGAGAAGAUGAAUUUUGGAGCCGAGGAAUUAGUGCUUGCGCAAUUUGUGACGGAGCAUCUCCUCUCUUCAAAGGUCAAGUUCUCGCUGUCAUUGGAGGGGGGGAUACUGCUACAGAAGAAGCAUUAUACUUGACAAAAUAUGCUCGCCAUGUCCAUUUACUUGUACGUCGGGACCAACUGAGGGCUUCCAAAGCUAUGCAAGAUAGGUGUGUCUGAUUAAAAUUUGUCGUUUCUUACUUGUGAAUAUAGUCUGAGUGUAUCAUGAACAAUCUAUAAACUGAACUUGGUAAUUACCUACUUAUAUAAACUUCAUUUUGUAUAACUUCAGCUCUCUCUCUCUCUCUCCCCCACACAGUCGCUCACACUACUCCUGUGGGAAAGAUAGAGUCUUAUACAAUCUUUGUUAGAUCUUUCUUUUAAUCUUAUUGUCUGUAGUGGGUUCUCUGUUGCUGAACCUUUAUAUAUGUAUUAUUAUGUACAAUAUGCUCUUUAUUUGUUACCUCAUGCUUGAUUGAGGUUAUGCAACUUAUAAAUUAUACUUUUAGGUUCCUAUUUUGUUUACUUGCCAUACACAUGGUGAUAAUUUCUUUUAUCUCUAAGUGAAUUUUUAGCAUUCUCUAUUUCAAUGCUUUAUAUGUGGGCCUUUUGUUAGCCAAGUUCAAGCUUCUUUUGACCCAGUUGCAAAAUAUAUCCUAGAUUAAGGUUUUGCUUGUACCUCUUUAUGGUGUAUAUGAAAACUAUAUUAUCCUAAGGACAUAGAACAUUUGAUCUUAAUUAUUCCCAGUCAUGGGAAACCACAGUUCCUCACUCUUCAUAUCCAAGUAAAGACGUAAGCAAAGAUGUUACUUGAUCACGAUCGCGUUCUUGCAAAAUGCAUCAUUGGAUAAUAAGCAUAUGUUCUUUGAUAAUAUUUGUCAUUAUCUCUGUAGUUCCUUUAGACUUGAAAAAUAAUUGUAUCAUGUUAUACAUUUUUUCAUUUUGGGAAUAAAAUGUUUUACAUUUAUGGCUAAAUAUUAGAAUUAUAUUAAAUUUCUUUUCAAAAUCAUAGUUCCGUAGUGGUUUUGAAAUUAUGCUAUGAGUUUAUAGAUCUUCAUUCUAGCAUGAUGUAUUUUGUGAAAAAAGAGUUUACUUUUGUUUUGCACAUGGUAAUUUUUUUUUGUGUGGUCUAUGACACAGUCAAGGUUUCUAAGCUGAGCCCAAAGAUAUUACAUAGUGGAAACAUUCUUAUAAAAAUAUUUUUCUCUGGUGGUCUAUAAGUGAAUGCUUGUCUUAAAGAAGAGACUAAAUAGAACCUGGUUUUGGGCAUUCUCUACUAGACUAUAGAUACUCAAGAAGUUGCUUAACACUGUUAAAAUUUUUAUAAGACAAAAAAAUGGAAUUUGUAUCAUCUAUCUCUGUUUUCUUUGUGAUGGUGAAUUAUCCACUAAUAAAAAUUUUGUAUGUGAGUUUUCAACUACCUGAAUGUUUGUUUAACAGGUUGAUUAUCACGAAUGUUUCAGAGUGUAUGACAAUCCCAAUGUCACCGUGCACUUCGAUACAGAGGCAGUGGACCUUGUAAGCAACACCAAAGGACAGAUGUCUGGCAUUUUAAUACGGAAGGUUGACACCGGGGAGGAAUCUGUGCUUGAGGCAAAAGGGCUGUUUUAUGGCAUAGGCCAUUCACCAAAUACACAAUUGUUGAAAGGCCAAGUCGAACUUGACCACUCUGGCUAUGUACAAGUUGAGGAGGGUACUGCAAAAACUUCAGUUGACGGUGUAUUUGCUGCUGGAGAUGUGCAGGUAUCCUAUCCUAUUGAGUGCAUUCUGCUUAUGUAGUUGAUUGUUCUAACAUAUUAGAAUCAACAAUACAUUGCCUAAAAUAAUUUAUGACUUGAUAUAUUAUAGUAUACCGUUUUAACAGUCUAUAACAUAGCACAAUAGCAUCAUUUUUUCUCUGUGUUUGUCGAGAAGUUCUACAUCGUCUGGCAAACCCACUUAAUGUGCUGAGGCAGCGUUUGAUAUGUCAUUUUAUGGGGACAGGAUUUUGACUCUUUUUCUUCUUAAUUUAAGUAUGAUGCUGUAGUACAUAAACUGAACAUAUGUUUGACUAAGCAAAUUUACCGGAAAUUUUAUUGAUUGAAUAUAUCUUGUGAUUCAAUUUUUUACCUUUUGUAUGAAAAAAAAUGCAGUAAAGUAACUGUCCUAAGUAUAUUUAUAAAAUUCUUUCUUAUUCUUAUAGGACCAUGAAUGGAGGCAAGCUAUAACUGCUGCUGGUUCUGGAUGCAUUGCAGCUUUAUCAGUUGAGAGAUAUCUUGUGAGCAAAGAUCUUCUUGUAGAGUUCCAUCAGGUAUUUUACUUCAAAGAACUCCUAUUUUAUUCUCACUCACUGUUCCUUUUCCGCAUAAACAACACUGUAGACUAAGUCUACAAAUCACGUUACCAAUUUAAUAUAUCUUUAUUAUUCUAGUCUUAAUUAUACAUUCUACAGAAGCAUAUGCAAUUUUGGCAAGAUUUGUAUGACAAGCUUAUAUGUUCUAUAAUUUGGAUAACUUUACAUGACUUAAUAAAGACCGUGUAUCUAAUUGUUAUUGGAUAAUGAAGUUAGCCAUAGAAUUUUCUUUACUCUAAGUCCUUUAAAUUUAUGUUAUAGAAAAGGGCAAGAAGUGAAAUACAGUAAAAGAAUUUUUAUUGAUUAAACAAUCGCGGAAUUGAUAACAAGGUGACACCGAACGGAUAUCAAUAACAUUGUUGAGCAGAGCUGAACUUUCUCUCCCUCCCAUGUCUUUAUAAUCAUGAGACGUGGAUUUUCUCCUUUCCAAAACAAUCAACACCCUCCUAUUUUUCUCUUGAACUGCAUUGUAACUACUCUCUCUCUCUGUACAGUACUCAACUAAGGGCUUAUUUGUUAUACACCCUGAAUCAAGUACUCUUACAGUGACAUUAUAGUUCAGAUUAAUCUGGGCACAUCCCAGUUAACUCAACUGCACAAUAUUAAUUUUAUCAAAAUCAAUUUUACACAAUUUAAAACAAAGAGGCCCUAAGCUGUUCCUAUAGUUAUUCUGCUAUUUCUAUUAAUAACAGAUGUUUCCAUUAAUAGGAUCUUUUAGCUCUAAUUCUGCUCACUUCCUCAUUCUUUGUAAUGGAUACUCUUCAUAAUCCAUAUUGUGAAGGUUUGCUAAUAUUUUGUGGGAAGUGAUAAUAUAGUUCUCAGUUGACUUUUGAACUCAAUUACACGGGAUUAUUUUUGUUGACCAAUCUUGCGGGCUUCUCUCGUUUCAUCGGCAUGCACUUAACUUCUAUUUUAAUGACAUCGUGAGGUGUGAAGUAGGUACUGUUUUCUUGUUGAACAUUUAUUCCGAGGAACAUAAUAAAGCUGAGCUGCAUUAUCCGUUCUAUUUUUUUUAUCAUUACACAAAACACGUUUGGUAUUGGAAAACCUAUCUAUGAAUAAUUUACUCAAAUAUUUUAACUGAAUCUGGCUGGAGUAGGAAAGACUCUAGUUUUUCUUUAAUCAUUACAUAAAACACGUUUGGUAUCUGGAAAGCUAUCUAUGAAUUAUUUACUCUAAAAUAUUUUACCUGAAUAUGAUCCAAGCAAGUAGAGAAAGGCUCUGGUUAUUGGUGAUGGACCUGGUUACGGAAGCCAUUUACCACCUACCCUUAAUUUUAUGAACAGGUUUUCCCUAGUAGCUUGUCAUCUAUUUCUCUUUGGGAUAUUUGCACAGUUAGGACAUAUCUUGGGAGAAAGUAUGAAGAAAUGAAAUACCGAACUACUAUAUGUAUCUAGUCAUAUUAAAUAUUUCUUCUUUUGCUAAAGUUAAGUUAUAUUGCUUUAGCCAUCAUAAAACUGGUGCUAGUUAAGACUAUAUAUUAAUUCUUAAUUACUAAUGUAAGGAAAACAGACUUUACAUUAAACCAGUUGAUUCGUGGAACUGAAUUCAAUGUGAAUCUCAACCUUCCAAUUUAAUUACCUGUAACAGCCCAAAACUGAAGAGGUUAAGAAGGAACUAACAGAAAGGGACGUUCAAGAGGGCUUUGACGUCACACUUACAAAGCAUAAGGGACAGGUAUGUGUUUCCUAAUCAGAUGCUGAUGUUGAUAGGAUUAAGUCUUAUUAUUUGUGACUUCCGCACUAUAAUAUGUUGUUUGCCUUGUGAUUUCCUCUUUACAGUAUGCUCUACGAAAAUUGUACCAUGAAAGUCCAAGGCUUAUAUGUGUAUUAUAUACAUCACCAACGUGUGGUCCAUGUAGGACACUGAAGCCAAUCCUUAGUAAGGUAUGUGAAAAAGGGAGGAUUUAAAAUUAUAUCAUAAUCCUGAAGUUAGAUUUCAUAAUACUUGUUGGUAUUUUCAUCUUGUGACACUACGAAUGAGUACACAAUUUUAUCUUCUGUUAUUACCAAACCUUAAAAGAAAAGAAAGAAAGCAAAGUCAACUAUGCAUGAUGUUUUAACAGGUAUGCACUGUCACACUGUUAAACUUGAAGGAAGAGAGAAACAUUGAGCUGAAUCUGUGUGUUUCUAAGACAACAUGAGUGCUUUAUUUGUAUUGAUUGAGAAAAAGGAAUCAAUACAAUAAAUAGAGGAGAUUUGAUUUCCUCUAAUAAUAAGUAUAUGGUACAGGAAGAAAUAAAGAAGUUUUUGAUAAUACAUAUAUAAUCUAGAUAUUCCUAGUUAUAUAGGAUCAAUUCCUCAUUCUUAUAAUCUGCAAUUUUGUUAAUUCGAGAUGUCCUAAUUGAGCAUAUAUAAGCAGUGGAGAGACCAUUGAUUCACAUACAGAUGAUGUUAGAGGUAGUAAAUGUCAUGUGACUCACAUCCAACAUCAAUCCUCCGACUUGAUGUCCGAUCUUGCAAGGUAAAACUGUUUUUAAUGAAGGUAAGAAGAAUAUCAUGGGGUUGGGUCAAUUAGGUAAAAGACAAUAAAUUAAAAGGGCAAUUAGGGACAUAAAGAAUUUAGUCAAAAGUAAGGAAUGAGAAAGGUUGGAAUACCAAUUUUGCAAGCUUGUGUUUAUGAACCAUUGGAAGCAGUUAUAAAAGGCAAAUUGUUCGAUUUAGUAAAAGAAGAGAAAAGAUAACGAUUACCAAAUAUGUCAGCAGUUGCAUCUGAAUCAAUAACCCAAGGACCAAGAGGUGAUAGAGUGACAAGUUGAAGAAUUACUAGUGUGUGCUACAAAACAAGUUGUACUAGCGGAUUGGUCACCAUUUGAUUUAGUCUUCAACUUCUUGUUGGAGAUGUAUAAGCCAGGAACUCACAACAACUAGUGUCUCAACAAUGGAAGUGGAACAUUUAGAUCCAUCCAUUUUCUCAAUAUUGACAUUAUGGUUAGAAACGACGGGAGAAUCUAUUUUGGAGGUUGAUUUGGUGUUUUGGUGUUUUUGAUCCGGUAAGUCGGACCAAUUCGUUAAGUUUCUUAAGCGUAAGAAACCACUCUAUAGAUCAUAUAUUAGGAUUAAACACUCAAAACUGACAAUUCAACAUAAGUUCACAUAACAUUAAUGAAAAACGUAAUUAAGGGAACAUUCAACAGCAUCCAAGGGAAAUAAAUCCCUUUAUACAGGAUAAACGCUGUCCAGACUUAAGAAAAUACAACACACCCACUAGGAGGAACCAUUUCCUCCUUAAGGCUUUGUUCACUUGGAGGGGAGGAAUUGGGAAAGAGUGAGUGGAUGGUUUUGAGGGGAUUUGGGGAUAAAUUUUUUGUUAUUUAUUUGAGUGGAUUUGGAAGUAAUUGAGAGUGAAUUUGGAAGUAAAAUUUGUGAGAAUUAAUGUAGAAUUUGAUUUAUGUGACACAAAAAAAAUUGUUUAAUUGGUAGAAAUUAAAGAUUACCAAAAUGUUCCUAGUUAUCAAAGUAUUAUAAAAUGAUAAUUGUUAAUGUUAUAUUUAAUUGUAAAAAUGUUUAUAAAAAGUAAAAAAUUAAAAUUAAUUAUUAAAGUAAAUUUAAAAAAUAUAAAAAAAAUUAUAAAUUAGUAAAAUAUUUUUUUUUUAAAAUUUAAUAUUUUUUGUAAAAUAAUUUACUAUCAAGUUAUAAUUUGAUUUGUUUUUGAAGUAAGAUUGAUUCAAAAUUUUCCAAUACAACUCCAAUGCAAUGCCAAGUAGCUUCCAGACACCAAUUAGACGAAACAGAUUUUAAUUGUGUUAAAUUUUAAAAUUUAAAACUAUAUUUAACCUAUAAAUAAAUCACCAAUUAGACAAAACAGAUUUUAGUUUUGUGUUAAAUUUUAAAAUUUAAAACUAUAUUUAACCUAUAAAUUUAUCUUAUUUGAUUUAUAAUAUUAUAUAUAUAUAUAUAUAUAUAUAUAUAUAUAUAUAUAUAUAUAUAUAUAUAUAUAUAUAUAUAUAUAUAUCAGGAUUUGGAUUGAUUGUGUAAUGAAAGAAAGUUGAAGAAAUAUAGAUGGGACAUCUUCUCUCCUGGCAUGAGAAGGAAGAAGAAAUUCUACGAAGGGCAAACGUGAGAAAUUCCUUCAAUUCACCCCAAAUCAUCUCAUAUGAGGAAGUGAUACAAAAAUCCGGUAUCUCGCAAAUCCACGUUAUUCCGUCUUCGCAAAUCCUCGAAAGUAAACAUUACCCAUCUCUCAGAUCAGUUUUCCUUUUCCUUCUAAGCAGUAUAAUCUUCUAAACAGUAUAAUCUUCGAAAGUGAAUGCAGUGUAAAAGAUAACCCUUACUAAACUUAAUAACUAUCUCUAACCACCCCUAAACGGCCCUAAACUGCCCAACCACUGUUAACUGUUAUGAAACUUCUGAUUUUGAACCCUCUUCCUAACAUACACCUUAAAGGUCUUAUCACACUGUUAAACUCUAGGGAAGAGAGAAAUAUUGAGCUGAAACCGUGAAUCUAUGAGCCAAGACAUACGCUUUAUUUAUAUUGAGAAAAAUGAAUCAAUACAAUAAAUAGAGGAGAUUUGAUAUCCUCUAAUAACAAAGAUAUGACACAGGAAUAAAUAAAAAUGUUCCUAAUAAUACAUAUAUAAUCUAGAUAUUUUUUAUUAUAUAGGAUCAUCUCCUUAUUCUUAUGUUUAUAACUAUAAGAUCAACUCCUUAUUUAUAUGACUGUAGCACACUGUUAUAUUUUUAUAUUUUAAUACUAGAAACACUGUAGAAGAGAAAAAAAGAAAGAACCACUAUUUUAACAAACAAAAUAUCUUAGAAGAUGCCAAGGAACAUAUAACCCAAUUCGCAAAGGUUAAAAUAAAAGAUGAACAUGAACUAAGCAAAGUCCACCGACUCUUUGAACGUCAAAUAGUAUCACACGAACUUUAAUACCUGAUAUUCACAGUGAAACACAUCACGUCAUAACUUUUAUGUUAAGAUGGAGAUUAGAUCACUUGAGAAAAAUAAUAGAGAGAAAAUAUAUUUUAGAAAGCUUGUACAAGACUCUCUUAGGUUCUCAUAUUUAUAUAUACAGAAAAAGUAAGAGAUUUGAGAUACAAAAAUAAGAGAGAAAAGAGUAGAAAACAUUUAAACGCACCUCUAAGACCCUAGAUAUAGAUAGGUAUAAUUCAAAUUAACUUUCAAAUAAAGCUUGUUUUAAACCUAUUUUUAGCACUCCCCUUCUAGCUGAAAUGUAUCAAGUUUGGAACAACUAAAUUCAACGUGACACCCUCUCAAGGAUUUUGUUAAUGCAUAUGGAAGUUGAUCAUUAGAUCUGACAAACUUGAUAUAAAUUGCCUUGGUCAACAACUUUUCUCAAAUAAAAUGAAAGACAAUUUUUGUGUUUGGUCCUUUCAUGAAACAUAGAUUGGAAACAAUGUGGAGAAUUGCUUGAUUAUUGCAAUACAUCUUGAUUUGCUGAACCUCAAAAUUUUAGUUAUGGAGGAACUGUUUUACUCAAAGUUCAUAAAUGAGAGAUGCCAGAGCCCUAUAUUCAACUUCAAUAGUCCAUAAUGAAACUUCAUUUUGUUUCAUGCUUUUCCAAGAAAUAAUAUUUCCUCUGGUGAAGACACAAUAUCUUGUAUUAGAAGCUCUGUCCAUAAGAGAUCUUGCCUAAUUAGCAUUACAAUUCUCAAAGAUUUGGCUAUUCUCUAUAUCUUCAUAUAAUAGACAUUGUCUUGGAGCCUUUAGAUGUAUCUUAGACCACAAAGGACAACAUUCCUAUGAUCAAUGAACUGGUUGACAAUACCAACUACAAAAAAAGUCUUCUGCAUCCUUCUGGGUCAGAGAAAGAUUCAUCCUCCUCUCGUUAAUAUUUUGUUUGGGUCCAUAAAACUAUCCACUAGUCUAUAGUCAAUCAUACCCUCUUUUAGGAUACCUAGAGCAUAUUUCCUUUGAAAAUUGUCAAUUCCUUCCUUUGAUUGGGCUACCUUGAUGCCUAAAAUGUAUUUGAGAUAUUUAAGAUCCUUGGUCUGAAAAUGAUUGUACAAGUAUUUCUUUAGCUAAUAGAUUUAGGAGCUUCAUUUCGUAUAAUGACUAUAUAUUAUUAACAUACAUUAUUAAGUAAAUACAUUUUCCAAGGGAAGUAUUACAAUAAAAUAUCAAAUGAUUUGUUUCAUAGUGUUUCAGCGCAAAGAUUUGAACAAUGUGACUAAAUUUUCCCAAUCAUGUAAGUGGAGAUUGCUUGAGACCAUAGAAACACAAUUUACAAAACAAAUUAGACUCCUCCUAAGUAACAAACAUAAGAGGUUGUUCGGUGUAGGGGUAAUUUGGUCAUCUUACAAUUUCAUUUAUUAAAGCAAUUUUUUUAUCAUCUAUGUCAAUCAAAUCACUCACAAACUUUCUUCUCAUUUCUCUACAUUUCUCAUCAUCAUCAUCUUUUCCUUAAUCCAAACAAUCUCACAUUCACCUCUCUUCUCAAAUCCAUCCUUUUCCAUUUCCUCAAACCCAUCCUUCAAUCUAAACAAAGCAUAAUGAAAUUUAAAGAUUUUUGAGCUGUAUCUGUCUCUACUUAUCCUUCAAUCUACCACGAUUUAAUGAAAUUUUGACCAUUUAGGUAAAUAAUUAUGAUUGAGCUCGUUAGAUAGGGAAUUCCAACGCGAAUAUGAACCGGCCUCAGUAACUUGAUUGGUCUUUUGUUCUGGGUAGUUUGGGUCUGUCAAGGUUUCUGUUUGAACUAGGCCAAUAUGAUGUUAUUUUAACAGUGUUUUUCCCUUGUCAGCCUGCUAAAUUGCACGGACAAUUAUAUCAGUGAACCAAUAAACUAAAUAAGGCUACUUUUAGUUCGUCUGCUUGUGAAAAAGGUUCCAUGCACUUUGUCGAAAUUAUUGCAUAAUAAUAUGUAUUUGCAUACAAUAAUGCCGUGUUAAAAAUCAACUUAUUGUGUGCUCAACCUGAGAGCAGCCAGAUUAUAUUAGAUACUGUCAAUAUUGAUAUAUAAAAAGAAUGCAUUAAUACUGAUCUCAUGGCAAAGGAACUAAAUAAAACUAUUUUUUGUUCCAUAUAUUUCACAAUUUAUUUUCGAUCGUAAAUUGAAGACUGAUUUUCUUAAUGUUUUUGUAAAUCUCCUUUUACAGGUUAUUGAUGAAUUUGAUGAGAAUGUACAUUAUGUUGAAAUUGAUAUAGAGGAAGAUCCAGAGAUAGCAGAGGCAGCUGGAAUAAUGGGCACUCCAUGUGUGCAAUAUUUUAAAAAUAAGGAGAUGCUCAAGUUAGUAAUAUUUGAUUUUAUUUUCUCUUACUCUAUCAUGCAUCAUCUAUACUAUAAAUAUAUUGUUUGAUAUCAUGGCAUCCCACUAUAUAAACAUCAACUUUUUCUAUCACUUAUGGGUACUAAUUAUUUUGCAGAACUGUCUCUGGAGUCAAAAUGAAGAGAGAAUACAGAGAAUUUAUUGAAGCAAACAAGUAGAAGUAUUUAUAAACACCUGAGGAUGAUACUCAGAUUCUGUGAUUCAAUUUUGUUUUCCAUUUGAAAACAGCUGAAUAGCGCUGUCAAUUUUGACAACUAUUCCUUGAACCAACUAAAUUUCAUAGAUUGUACAUGUAGAGUUACCAAUCACUAUUAUUGUUUUGUUUGUUCAAUAUUAUCAUUUUCAUAUUUUAGUUCAGCAAGCCUCAACUACGAGCUGAAACUAAUGCUAUUUACUAUUAUUUUUUUAAUUGAUUAGUUUUUGUUAAAAGUAAUGUAAUCUAUCAUGCACUUGAAUUUUUGUGUUUGUCACUAUAGUCUUCAACUUAAAUAAUAAUAUAUACAGCUGGAAUGGGAUAUAUAUAUAUAUAAUAGAGUAUCUUUAGAUCAAGAUUUUAUUUUAGAAUGAUGUAUUACUUUUUUUUGGUGGGUCUCUGUCAUGCAGAUAUAAGAUUUCACUUUGAAUUUUUAAAACUAAUUGUUUGUUGGUUUCACAAUUUAAUUUGAUUUAAAAUCAAUUAAAUAAAUUCAACUAUUUAAAAAUUAAUGUCCAAUUAGAAAUAUUAGUACUUGAUACUUUUAACAUUAAUAAUUACUAUGAUGGUAAAAAUAUAACCAUUAAUCAAGAAUAUAAACACUCACAAUGAGCAUAGAAAUUUAUUAGCUGUAUAUAUUGAGUUUUUUAUAUUUAGUAAUUUAUUUUUAAUUCAAUAGAGCAAUUGAUUACAUAUCCAAGAGAGAAGAUAAUUCGUAUAGAAAAAUUAAAAAUUAAUUUGAGUAAUUUGUUCAAGUAAAUCUAUUUUUAAAAAAUAAAAAAUUAAAUAUAAAUAUAUUGAAAUUUUAAAUAGGUCGUCCCAAGCGAAAUUAUAAAUUAGUACAGUUAUAUCGUAACUUUUUAAUUAUAACUUUGGUAUGUAUGAUCUAACAACGUCAAUUCUAUUUUGAUAUAAAAUAUUUUGAAAUUAGUCCAAUGCACUGAACUUUCUUUUAUAGCAUUUCAGUUUCAAAAUUAAUUUUAAAAAGGUUUAAAUUCAAUUUUAUUUUUAAACAGUUUAAUUAUUUUAAAAUUUAUUUAAUUUAAUUACUAAAAAAUAUAAUUCAGUUCAUUUAUUUUGGACAGUUCUGGGUAUCUGAGCUAAACAAUUUUAUAUACAUUUUAAUACAAAUUAAACUCACAAUUACUUAAUUUAAAAAUUGAACAUAAUUAUUAAUUUUAAUGUAUUUCACACACUUUAUUUAGAUUUUUCUUAUUUUGUAAAAGGAAAAUAUUUUCUCUUUCCAUUCGGUUUUGAUCGUGGGCUUUUUUUCCACUAAAGUUUUUGUGGUUGAGGUCUAUUUAUAGAUGCAAUUAUGGGAUUUCUUUCUACAGUCACAUGUUUUCUUACUGCAUCCCCAAAGACCUAGUGAAAUGAUUUAGUUACCCUUAUUAAAAUCUAAUUUAAAACCCUAAUUUCAUUUCAGGUUUCUUAAGGUCACUCUAUUGGCUCCAUAGUGUGUGAGCCUACCCCAUUGACCUCUUAUGCAUUCAUUCCCUUACAUACUCUUUAAUGUAAAAUUACAUUUUAAGUUAUACAAUAUGUAAUUUAAAUUAUACAAUAUGUAAUUUAUAUUAUAAAAUUUGUAAUGUAUAAUACUUUAGAUUGUGGAAUUCAAAAUGUAAUUUAAAUUCAAGAUUGUAUUCUAAACGUGUGAAUUACGAAUUAUACAAUCUAAAAUUUAUAUUUGUAUUAGAAAUUAAUUUAAAUUCCAAAUUGUUUUCUAAAUUUUUAUUAUAGAUUUGUAUAACUUGGAAUGUAAGUUUACAUUACAAAUUAUAGAAUAUAGAUUCUAAUUUAAAUUUUAAAUUAUCUUUUAAAUUUGCAUUAGACUUGUAGAAUAAAAAUACAAAUUUACAUUUCAAAUUUUAUAAUCCAAAACAUGUAAAAUUAAUAUUUUUGAAUUUUAAAUUGAAUAAUUCAAAAUAUCCACCAAAUCUAUAAUUAAAAUACGAAAAAAAAAACUUAUACUAUCUUUUUCUAUUAAUUUAAGCAUGAAUGUAAUUAGAAUUUUAGGAAGUAUGGGAACCCUGCCAUUUUAGAGGGUGGAUAUACUUGUAGAGGCUUUUUUUUUUUCAAAUUUUUGGUGAGUAUAGGCACAUGCAAAAGUAAACAAAGACAAACUUUAAAUAUUGUUUUCUGGGUGUUUGGAAGUUAAUUCUAAUUAAAUUUGGAUGUUAAAUUCAAUAUUUACUCAUACUCAAUACAAACUUUAUUACGUAAAUUACACGUAAAAUUCCAAUUAUUAUUAAAGAAUAACUAAAAACAUUUAAGAAACUAGAUAACAUUGUUGAUAAAAAAAAAACAUAUAAACCAAGAUCAUGUAAAAAAAACAAUGCUAAAGUUCUUAGUGCCUAAAACUAACAUUUAAUGAGUACUUUCCAUUACAAGUUGAUAUUCUAUAUUCACUUUCUAAUAUCUUAUAAUAAUAAUAAUAAUAGUAAUAAUAAUAAUAAUAAUAAUAUUAUUAUUAUUAUUAUUAUUAUUAUUAUUUAUAUAUCAGCUCACAUUCAAUUCAAUAAUUUAAAAAACUAAAGUUAAUGAAAAUUUGAAUAAAUAAUUGAACGGAGAAGUAACUUCAUCCUUAUUCUAUAUUAUCAUUUUAGAUCUUGAAGAUAUAUAUUCCAAUAAUUCAAGUUAGUACAUUGUGCAUGCAUGAUACAAUCUAAGUUAUUACAUGUGAAAUUAAUAAUUUCUAAAGCGUCUCAAUUUUAACUUGAGGUAUGUGUUAGGCACGUACCAGUUGUUAUUUAGAUCUUCAAGUUCAGAUUUUUUUUUUUUUUCUUUUGCUUUCCUAAUCUUUAUAAUAAUAGGGGUGAAUAAGAUAUAUGAAGUGAAAACAUUUUUGCAAAGUUAAAUUGGAUUUUAGAAGUAGCUUAGUAAUUAAACAAUUGUAUGAUAUUUUUAAGGUUUAAUUACCUAUUUAGUCUCCAAGUUUGGAACUGAAUUUCCGUUUGAUACCCAGUUUUAAAAGUGAUUUAAUUAGAUCUCAAGUUUUUGAUUUUGCUUGCAAUAAGUCCCUUCCGUUAAAUUUAAUUUCGUCUGACGUGGCGAUAUUUUUCUGCUAUUCCCCUGAUACUCCUUUUUCUCUCUCCUAUUUCUCUCUCUCAUCUCACCAUUAUAAAUCAUUAUAAGUACCUCUCUCAUCUUUUUCUCUCUCUUUUAUUUCUCUCUCAUCAUUAUAAAAUCAUUAUAAACCUUCUAUCUUUUAUUAUGAGAACUAAAAUCAAAGAGAUUGUUCCACCAAACAGAGCACACAGAGAGAUGUAAACUUGAUUCAUAUUCUUAACUUUGUCUCACUUCAUUUAAGUUUCGCUACAAUCCAAUUAUUAUGGUUUAUCUCACUUAAUUUAACUUUCGUUUCAAUUACAUUUGAUUGAAAUUUUUGUAUUUUUUAAAUUUUAUUUUUUCAGUUANNNNNNNNNNNNNNNNNNNNNNNNNNNNNNNNNNNNNNNNNNNNNNNNNNNNNNNNNNNNNNNNNNNNNNNNNNNNNNNNNNNNNNNNNNNNNNNNNNNNNNNNNNNNNNNNNNNNNNNNNNNNNNNNNNNNNNNNNNNNNNNNNNNNNNNNNNNNNNNNNNNNNNNNNNNNNNNNNNNNNNNNNNNNNNNNNNNNNNNNNNNNNNNNNNNNNNNNNNNNNNNNNNNNNNNNNNNNNNNNNNNNNNNNNNNNNNNNNNNNNNNNNNNNNNNNNNNNNNNNNNNNNNNNNNNNNNNNNNNNNNNNNNNNNNNNNNNNNNNNNNNNNNNNNNNNNNNNNNNNNNNNNNNNNNNNNNNNNNNNNNNNNNNNNNNNNNNNNNNNNNNNNNNNNNNNNNNNNNNNNNNNNNNNNNNNNNNNNNNNNNNNNNNNNNNNNNNNNNNNNNNNNNNNNNNNNNNNNNNNNNNNNNNNNNNNNNNNNNNNNNNNNNNNNNNNNNNNNNNNNNNNNNNNNNNNNNNNNNNNNNNNNNNNNNNNNNNNNNNNNNNNNNNNNNNNNNNNNNNNNNNNNNNNNNNNNNNNNNNNNNNNNNNNNNNNNNNNNNNNNNNNNNNNNNNNNNNNNNNNNNNNNNNNNNNNNNNNNNNNNNNNNNNNNNNNNNNNNNNNNNNNNNNNNNNNNNNNNNNNNNNNNNNNNNNNNNNNNNNNNNNNNNNNNNNNNNNNNNNNNNNNNNNNNNNNNNNNNNNNNNNNNNNNNNNNNNNNNNNNNNNNNNNNNNNNNNNNNNNNNNNNNNNNNNNNNNNNNNNNNNNNNUAUAAUUAUCUAAUGAAUAAUUAGUAUUUUAAUAAUUUAAAUAGAGGUAAAAAUAAAAACAUAAAUAAGUAUUAGACGAAUAUAAAAAUGAAAACAAAACAAAUAUAUACCUAUUUAUCUGAAAUGUGUAAUUAUCAUCCAGUUGCCUACGGAAUUUGCACUUCUAUCCAUGGAUAAUUUAUCUUUUUUAUAGAUAAAUCAUUAUAAAAAAAAAGAUAGAAGGUUUAUAAUGAUUUUAUAAAGAUGAGAGAGAAAAAGAUGAGAGAGGUACUUAUAAUGAUUUAUAAUGGUGAGAUGAGAAAGAGAAAUAGGAGAGAGGAAAAGGAGUGUGAGGGAAAUAGCAGAAAAAAUACCAUCACGUCAGAUGAAGUUAACACCGUUACUGUCAAUUUAAGGGAAGAGAUCUAUUGCAAGCAAAAUCAAAAACCUGAGGACCUAAUUAAAUCACUUUUAAAACCGGGUAUGAAAUGGAAAUUCAACCCCAAACUUGAGAACUAAAUAGGUAAUUAAGCCUAUUUUUAAUAAAUUAAAUUCAUCUCAAGUGACUUAAGAAUCACAAAUUCUUAUCUUCCUUCAAAGAUAACUUUCUUUAUAGUUCUCCUUUUUUUUCAGCAUUUUCUUUUUAAUUUUUGGAAUGGUCUUUAAUUUUUUCUUUAUGAUCAUAUUAUAUGUAAAAACUUAAAAAUAGAGCAUAAAAUAUUAGAGUUGAUAGGUGUUUUAAAUUAAUGAAACCAAAUUAUUUUAAUGUUAAAAAUUCGAUAAUAUAAGUAGAAUUUUAUAAAUACAUUUCAUUAUCUAAAAUGUUCAUUAUCUUUCUAAAACCUUUUUUUCUAAACUUCUUCUCACUUCUCUCUAAAUUUUCUAGCUCCUGAGUUAUUUAUUUGAUGAUCAGGAGGUGCCUAAACGUUCAUGACAGUGAGGUCUACAACUUCAGUCAAUCAAAUUUAUUCAGAGUAAGUUAGUUUCUACUCUUUUUCCUUGAUUUAUUAUUUAAGAUACCUGCAGGUAGUCUUACCGCAUGUGUUAUCCAACAUCUUUUUCUAGUUCAUUAUCGAUUAGUGGUCCUAAGGACCUAUCCUUAUCACAAUUUUGUGGUCUGUAGGUACCAUUAGAGCUAUUUGAGUAAAGACAAACAUUUUUUGGCUAUUAGAGCUAUUUAAGUUUCCACCAAAUAAAGGAAGCUAAUAUUUGCUUUAUUUUGUGUCAAGAAGUGUGAAUUUAAGUUUGAUAGGUUGUGAGAAUGAUGUUUGAUUGAAUAUGUUAUCAUUUGAAAUGAUUGUUUAAUAAUAGUUGUGUUGGAUGCAUGAAGUUGGAUUAUUGAUGACUGUUGUUGUUAAUGAUUGUGAAUUGGUACUACCUUGAACUUUGAAUGUUGCUUUAUUGGAGUCCUAGAAGAUACAAAUUUGUUAUAGAGUUGAUAGUAGUAAAAAGGAAGUGUUGUUGGACUAAUUUUUCGUCUAAAUUGGGUAAACUUCUAAAAGAUUGAUUUUUGAACUAAAAUUAAUGUUGGGGAGUUAUUUUAGAUCAUUUCAAACUUGCCUAGAACUUUAAAUAACUAUAAAUCUGAUGUUGAAUUGGUAAGUAGUUAAUAGUUGAGUUUAUGCUGUUUUUGAUCCAUUUUUAGGGGUUUUAAUAGGUGAAAAUCUAAAGGAGUGAGUUUGUGGUAAAAUUGAAGGUUUAAGGUCUCUUGUUGAGUCAAUUGUGACUUAUGUAGACCUUUAGUUUGCUAAAUUCUAGUUUAUUAUGUAUAGAAUGGUUAUAGGUGUUUUUAAGUGGUUUGGUUGAUCUAGUGCAUCUUUUUUCUGACCAAAUGAGCAAAGUGGUACUCAAUUUCAUCCAUAAACAUGUUUUUACUUCAAUAUUAGUGCCAAAGAAGUCAAUUUGGCCAGUUGGAUAGGUUCAAGUCUAAAUCAAAACAACAAGUUGUUGUCAUCUGGUAUUAUGUUGAGCGGCCCUAUGUGGUGUUGAGUGUUGCCAAAACAAUGAGCUUAUUGCCCUAAGGCGUUGAGCACUCCAUUUUGGCGUUAAGCGACGUUUUUACAAUGGGUUUUGGGCGUUGGGCGAGUUAAAAGUGAAGGAUGAUUAAGUGUUUUAGGGGUUGGACAAGAGUUCUCGCUGGGCACUGGGUGAGCUCGCUGGGCGAGCAGAGUUGACAUAGAGUGCCAAUAUUCUGACGUUGGGUGCCUUGUAUGCAGGUUGGGCUUUUGCUUUCUUCUCUUUUGUUUCUUAUGGAUGGGAGAUGUAUUGAUACUUUAAAGCUUGUUUAGUAACAUAUAUUGAAUUAUAUGAUGGUUUAUGCAUGAGGUUAUGUAUGUAUUAAUGUAUGGUUUGAAAAGAGUUUCAAAGGGGAAAUUCUUGAUGGUUGUUUCAAGUAGUGUAUUGUAGGAGCUUAGUCUUGAGGUUUAUCUUAACACUUUAAUGAUCAUUCAUUCUCAAGUAAAGAGGGGUGAGGCAUGUGGUGAGAGUAGCAGGAGGUCUUACUCUAGGGGCUUUACCUUGGCCUAAGGUGUUUAAUGGGCUAACCUUGUGUGUGGUAAGGCGAAACCCAUUGACAAUGGCUCUGCAAAACAUUAGAGGUCACCACAAAUGCACAACCCAUCAUAGCUCGAUAAUAAUACAUGUAUCUGAAUGUUUGAGUCUAGGUGUUAUUAUAUGUUUAGGUGUUGUUCUUAGUAUGAAAGUGAAAAUAUUAUGUGCUACUUUGUGAAUGCCAUGUUUUAUUUUUUUGAUAUUAGCUUACCAUUUUUUGUAUUUGUUUAUUUGCUUGUGUUUGUUGUAUAUGAUUUUGAAAUGAUCAUCCAAUAGAUGUGAGUAAAGGGAGAUGAUCUGACAGUGAAGCAAGCCUUAAGCGGCAAGGGUGCAGAUGUAUAAUUUGCUUAGUGUAGUUAAUGUUUCUUUUUGGGUUAUAAUGUAAGAAACCUUUUGUAAAUGCGUAUAUAGUUUUUAGAAUAGAGUUGUUUAUAUAAAUUUGACUUAAAGUUAUGCUUUGGUUAAUUGUUCUAGUUUAUUGAAUAUGUAUAUUUUUUUAAUAACUUUUAAAAUAUUUACAUGAGAUGUUACAUUUAUAAAUGUUUAGAUAAAAAAUAAUAAAAUAUACAGAAAAAAAAACUUUGUUUUGAAUAAGUUUCAAGAUCUUUAAACUUCUUUCUUUCUUCAUUCUAUAUGCAAUGUUUUGGAAUAUGCAUCUAAAUAAUAUCCUAGGGAUUUUGUGAAGAUAUUUUUGUGUUGUUUUAUUUUUGUUUUUAUCAUUUGUAUUUUAAUGUUAUAAUAUUAGGUUAGAUGAUAAAUUAAUAAGAUUGAGUGUGAACUUAAACAACUUAAACAGUAGUAUGAGAUUUAUUAAUUAAGUGCCUUUUUAAAGUUAAUAUUUUUAUAUUAUUUAUGUGGCUUAUUGAAUAUUCCGAUUUAUUGAAAAGUUUAGAAAUGUUAAAUUUACAAUUGAUAUGAAAUCUUUUUGUUUCUAUUGGUUCUACUUGAGAGUAUGGUUCACUGAUUGAUAAUUGUUAGUGACUUUUAUUUUUAUUGGUUAAAUAUUGAUUACUUUCUACUCAUAAUUAUUAUGAAAAGUGACUUGAAAUUGAUUUUGCAUCGUUGAGAUAAUUGUAAGUAAUUAAUUAUUAGAGUGAUAUUAUAGUUAUAAAUACACGUGUUAAGUAGAAAUAGGAGAUAGGUAUUACUAAAUUGUAUACAUUUAUAUUAGAGAAUUUGUCAUCAAGUUAAGAGUUUUGUUUAUAAUCAAUGAGAUAUAUGGAAAGUUACUUUGUCAUAAAGUAUUGUAUAACAGAGAUGGUAAAUUAUGGUUAAAUAUGUCUUUUGGUCCUCAUAUUUGUACUCAAUUCUCAACUUAGUUCUCAUAUAUUUUUUUUGUCCCAAUUCAAUCCAAAUAUUUGUUAAAUUGAAACAAUUAGACCCUCUCCGUUAAUUUUGAGCUAACACCGUUUGCAAAUGAUUACGUGGAUAUAAACAUUAAUAAAUUAUUUAUAUUCAUUCAAUUACGUGGCAAUUAAACCUUCUUCUUCUUUUCCUUCGUUAAUCCGUUAAGGCCUUGAGUAGAAUAAAACCAUGAACACUCUUUCUGCUUUUAAUCCACUCCAAAAACCUUUCCCUCUUUCCCUCUGCUUUCAAGCUCCUCACCAGAGAAACAUAACAGAAAAAGGAAAACACCAGAACCACCCCAUUACAACCUCCACCCCAACUCACGCAUCACACCAUCAUCAUCUUCAACUUGCUCUGCACAAAGCCACAGAAACAAAAUCCAAUCACAAAGAAGAAAGACCAAUUUCCAGCACCCAACACACACUUAUCAUUCCCAAUCUCAAUCCACAAAACAUCAAACAAUAGAAGAAACUAGUCAAUAAGUCAAUAAGUGGCAUUCAAAAAUGAGAAGAGGGGAAAACGGGUUUAGUUUCCCGACACAACAUAGUCAUCGUUU
rnacentral:lncRNA from 1 species